rnacentral:lncRNA from 1 species
GCGCGCAAUUACAAAGACUAAUCUUCGAGUUGAGUAAGAAGAUAAUGAAGGACAAAACUCUCAUUUGAAAUUUAACACCCCUGUAUUUUUAGGGUUGGUUUAAAAUCUAGAACAUAUGAUUAAACUGAAAGAGAUCUUUACCAUUUUACCGUUUUUUUUUUUUUUUUUACCUCAUUCAACUAUUAAUGCCAAUUUUUUUCCUACACGUCUCUCUCCUUUAAAUAUCUAUAAAGGUCCGUUUGAUGCAAGUAAGCAGAAGAACAAGACAAACAUUUGAGUUACAGACAAUUUUUUGUCAUGAUAUUUGGUAGACAGUAUAAAACACAAACAAAACAGUGAAAUUUACUACGAUUUUACUUCUUCCCUCAUGAAAUUAUGAGCUAAAUUAACCAAUUCACAUAUGUUAACAAAACUGUGCAAAUAAAAGAAGGAAAACGCUUUAUUCAAAAAAAAAAAAAAGGAAAACGCUAACCUUGGAGCAUUGAUUAAGAGAAUACGAACAAAAAUAUUGUGUUGGGAAAGGAUGAAAAGUAAUGAAUUUUAACUUUUUAAAAGUCAAAAUGUUGUUGAAUCCAAUACAAACAUAUACACUCUUCGAUCACUAAUAUAAACAAAAGUUUGAUUUUUAGAUUCAUUUAUUAAAUGACGUAUGUAGUCUAUAUUAUAAAUUAUAUACAUCAUUUAAUGAAUGAACCUAAAAAUCAAACUUUUGCUUAUAUUAGUGACCGAAGGGUAUACUAAUUUUGGAUUCCUUAACAAGUGGACUUAAGACACAUGUUAGCAUAACCCAUAAAAUAAAGAGAAAAUAAUAUAGGCUUAAAUAUGAUAAUCGUCCCUGUAAUUUGGUCCAGUUUUGAUUUUCGUCCCUGUAUUAAAAUAAUUUUCUGAUUUAUUUUUUUUAUAAUUUUCAAAAUAAAAUUAAUUUUUUUGUAAAAUAAUAUAUAUUCAGAAAUUUCUGAAAAAAAAAUUAUUAUUUUUUUAAAAUUAAAAUUUUCGUAAAAGAACAGGAAAUUAGAAUUUUUUUAAAAUUAUAAUUUAUUUUCAAAAAUUUUAAAUUUUGAAAAUAUAAUUGUCAUUAUUUUUGAAAAAAUUUUAAUAUAUAAUUUUCAAAUUAAAAAAAUCUAUUUUUCAAAAAUUUAAUUUUCACUUUUCUUUUCAAAUUUUUUAAAUUUAAUAGUUUUUAUGUCAAAAAAAUUAAGUUUUCGAAAAUUUUAAUUUUCAAAGUCUUUUUUUUCGGAAAAGUAUUUUCAGAUUUUUUUCGAAAAUAUUUUAUGAUUUUUAAAUUAAAAAAAAUAAUUUUCAGAAUUUUAUUUUUAAUUUUUAAAUUACUGGACUGCCAUGUGGCAAAAGUUUAUAUUUAAUUAGGAUAAAAAAAAAUUCAUUUGGAUUUGUUUGGUGGUGUUGGUUUGGGACUUUAGACUAUCCUCCUCUUAAAGUUUUGGGAUUGAUUUUCCCGUGCUAAUUCUGGUAGCUAAAUUUAGCUUCAUCAGAAAAAUUAGGAUAAAAAAUAUUUUCUUGUGAUUUGGUGAAAGAUAUCAAGGCCACUUUUUAAAUCAAACAUCAAGUGUAUACUUUUAGCCCUAAUUGAUUCUAUAGGUUUAGAAUUGAUUUUGACACAAGUUCUAAGGAGAAUUGGUUUGUCCUCCAAAAUUGAUUUUAACUUGAACUUAUUAGAAUUUGGAAUUUUUGCCUUAGGUGGAAAUUUAUUGUUCAACUUACUAUUAUCACUAUUAUAUGAAUGUGUUCAUAUAAUAUUCAACUCACUUUCGCGGAGAAUCGAUUUUACAAAAUCAAUUCAAUUUUUGUCACAUGGAAAACUAAACACCUACAUAAAAUCUUGAUCACUAUUAGAAUCAAGAAUAUCCAUUAAUUGGUAACACAACCAAAAAUCAAAUUCCUAAGGCUAAACUGCACUUUUCGCCUCCUAUGUUUCAAAAUGUUGCGAUUUUGACCCCCUAUUAAAAAAAAUGGCAAUUUUGGCCCAUUUCAUCCCAAAAUUGCUGAGAAGACGCCACGUGUCCCAAAAAAGGGGCCAUAAUCGCAACUUUUUGUAAAGAUAAGGGGUCAAAAAACAUAUUUCCCUUAUGUUAGGAGGUCAAAAGAGCAUAUUUCCCUAAACAUAGGGGUCACUUUUGCCAUUUUUUUAAUAGGGGGUCAAAAUCGCAACAUUUUGAAACAUUUUGAAACUUAGAGGGCGAAAAAUGAAGUUCAACCAAUUCCUAAUUUUUUUACUUUCAAAUCCAUACAUGCAAACAAUGUUUUGGGGCGUUAGGAUGAGGGUCAUGUGAUAAAUUAUUAACCACUCCAAACAUGAAAGAUUUUUGGGUUCAGAAUCAAAACACAACAAUAAUUCUCAUUAUGAAACAAAACAAAUAAAUUAAAGAACAAAAAUCAUCAUGUUUGAACCUGAAUUGAUGAUCCUUGAGAGUGAAAUCCAUUUUCUGAUGAGUAGUUACAAGACACAGACAUGAUUCUUGAUGAAGUUGAUAAGCCUAAAGACAAAUGUUUGGUGGAAGAAGAUGGUACAAUAUUACAUAAUUUGGUUUUGGAAAAUGAAGAAAUUUUACGGAGAGAAAUGAAAGGUGAUGAAGUAUAAGACUUAGUUGUUGAUGAAAACAUGAUUAAGGGAUUGUGUUGUAUAAAGUACAAAACUGCAUGCAAUGUUAUACUUUAAUGUUGUUGUAGACUAAAGACAGAUAGAUAGAUUGUUAAGGUAACCUUUUGCAUGCUUAUCUAUUGCAAGUUGCAGGCAUUGUCAGCAUCACAGUCAGCAAAACCACAAGGGAAUCUUAUUACGUACCUCAUUCAACUAUUCUUUUAUUUUUAUUUUUAUAUGAAGUCUUUCUCUCUCUCUCACCAAUUUCGAACCGAGCAUGCCAAAGUGGGGUUCAAAUAAAUCAAUCCAACCAAUUAAGCCACUUGUGAACCAGGCAAAGGGUGGGAGAAGUGCAAGACAACUUUUCAAGAGUUCAUCCACUCCAGUAUUACUUUCGUCAAGUAUGUUUAACUACGAAGUUCUGAUGGGAUCAGUACAUUAAUACUGGUAGAAUUUAAUCUCUCAAGUUAAAUAGAAUUGUAACGCCAUAAAACUCUUUAAAAAAUUUAAAUUUAAUAACAUUUUCAACACCGAAUUUGAACCAAUAAUAUAUGAUAAGCCAAAAAUCAAUUGUCACUUAAAUACUAAUGCAAAGAAAAAUUGGCCAACCCUAUGUUUUUCUCUGCGUAUAAAUAAAGGAAAAUGACAUAAAACUUACAUAAACUUUAUGUGCAAAGGAAAAUAACACACAUAUAUACACAAAUAAAUGUAUAAAUAAAUAUGUCUCAUUAAAUCAAUUGUUAAGGACAAUGUGUUGUAAUAUAUAAGGGUCAGGAGUUGAAUCUCAACCAUCUCAUUUAUUCUUUUUUUUUUUUUUUGCUACUAUCAUCUCACUUAUUCGCAUUUAAGAGAUGAAUUUCUAACCACUAGGAUAUUUUAAUUAUAUGUAUAUUACUCCCUCCGGUCACUACGAACAAAUCAUCAUGUUUGAACCUGAAGUCUAUGAUUAUUUUACAUAUAUGUUGGAUUUUGUAGCUUCCAAUACAUAAAGUUUUUCAUCGGUGUUGUUUUAAUAUAUGUCUCGGUCCUUAUGAUUGAAUUCAGACUGUUUGAUAUCCUAAUCAUUUGUUAUGAUUGACGCUGGACCAUUUCAGCAAGAAAAUGUCAGUAUUGCUUGUUGUCGUCGCUCCAAGCAAUUGUUGGUUCUUGGACUCCUUAUGUAUUGACGAUCAUUCUAUUCAUCGUUAUGCAGACCUCUAAUUAGUGCUGGUUAGAAUUAACUAGAGGUUAGAUCCACUUCUGUGGUUUUAAAUGUUUGUUUUGUCCGUUUCGAUUGACCUACACUUUUAUGUGAGGGUAAUAGUCAUUUUAGUCCCUGAAUGUAUAACGAGUAGUCAUAGAAUUUCUUGGUGUAUCAAAAUUUUAAAAUAGUCUCUGAUACACACUUUGUUAGUCAAAAAAGUGUCUGACACUAAAAUAAUUAUUUAAUAUUCACACUAACUCUUUUCAUAUAGGCACUGAAUUGACAAUGAAUUGGUAAUUGUACUUGUUACUUCCCUUUUUAUAUGUACUUACUAUGUUGGAUUUUAUGGUCCUCCAAUUUUAAUAAUAUAAAUGUGCAUUUGAUUAGAGAUUAGGGUCUACAAGGUAUGUCAACCUAGUUGAAGGUCUUCAAUUCUCUAUGAUGUCAUCAUUCUCUUGAUUUACCCUAAAAAGUUGAUAAAGCUACACAUAAAUAUUUUCGUAAGUACAGUUUUGAUGGACAUUUGAUAUGUGAAAGUGGGGUUGGAAUCACUAAUUCUUCACUUGUCAAUAUUAAAUAAUUAUGUUUUUUAAACUCUUUAAAAAGACUUACACGUAAUAUGGUUUUCUAGUUCAAUUAAUCUCAUAAUAAUCUUCAACGAUAAUGGUUGCGUAGCGUGUAUCAUUUGCCAAGACUGGUCACUAGAUGUAUGUGAGAAGGCGUGGCCAAGAGUCAUCCAAUUUGUCCAUAUCUCUAACUUAUGACUAACCUAUAUUUGGCUUCUAAUUAUUAUGAGAUUUUUUUAAUAUAAAUUUCCAAUUAUUAGAAUUUAGAAGCAAAACAAUGUUCUUCUUUAUCUUUUUAUGGAUAACGGAUAUAAACAAUACUUCUGUCUAUCUGCCGAUAGGACUAAGCUUUGUUUAUAAUUUGGUAAAUUAUGAGGUACUGAAGUUUAAUCGGGUAUCGAUAUCUAGACUUAAGUUUAGUUGAAUACCGUAUCUAGGGGUGGAUAUCGACUUGGGUUGGGAUCUGAGUUUGAACCUUUAAUUCGAGCCAACCCAUAGGUAGAGUAGAGAGGCUUGUUACAAACUUAUUUUGAUGAAAGAUUUUUACCUCUCAUAAAACUAUUUACACGUAAGUAUAAUAGGAUCGUGUCCACAGGGAGUUGCGUAUUUCAUAAGCAUUUUCACAAUAUUUGUCACAUUAAGUGUUUGGGUAUAAAUUGUUUGUUUGUGUAAAACUAUUUUCCUAAUCGACAUAAAAGUAAAACGAGAAGAGAUAGGGCUAUUCCGCUUGCGGUCAGAGACAUCAACCAAGCGUAACAGCUGCAAUCUCUCGAUCGAUUAACGGAUUCUAGCUUUUAAAACUAUAUUAUCACAAUCACUCGACAAUAUCAUUCGUGUCCAAAUGAUAUCGUUAUUUCUAAGGGAUCAUUUAAACAUCGAUUUCCCAAACAUUUAAACGAUCACAAAGUCGAUUGGGUAGUUUAAUCGACGAUUUCCCAACCGAUUAAAUUACCCAAAAGCAUUAAGUUCUAGAUUAAAAGUGAUUAUCAAAUAUUAACAUCCAUGUCUAGAGUGAUAACUUAAGAUAGAUUGUUAUUCUAUUUCUAGAUUCAAAAGUAUGUGUCCAUAUCAUUUUGAAUCUCAAUAAAACAAUAAAAGCAAGAAUAACAACAAUAUUGAAUAAAUAGGCUAGAACCAUAUAUUAAAAGAUCAAAAGAUUACAUAAUAGCUUGUUUGAAUACCUCAAAACUACAAGAGUAGAUGUAGCUACAUAUGUCUAUGAUAGCUUUGCAAAGGAUGAAGAAAGGGUGAAGAUUCCAUGACAAGAUCCAUGAUGUCUCAACAAAUCUUGGCUUGAAUCUACCCCUAACUACCUUGCUUUGUGUUUCUCUCUCUAGAAAAGCCCUAGUCUCUCUCUAAAACCAGAAAAAUAUGAAUAAAAAUGUAAUUGUAUAAUUGGAAAAAGAAGAGAAAACUAUUUAUAUGGGCACUUCUGCAGAAUUUCGCUAUUAGCGAAAUGUGGGAAAUAUGCCUCUGCACCAAUGGCGUUGCUCCACGUGUCCCUUAUCCACUUGACUUUCCUGAAGUUCGCCACCAGUUUUGCUGAUGGCGAAACUCCCUGUGCCAUUUUCGCUAUUGGUGAGAAUCUCGCUAAUAGCGACUUUCUUGUGAAUUUUGGCUUUUCUUGCUCCUUACUUGUAUUUUCCUGCACAAAAAGAGUAAAGUAAGGCAUGCAAAGCAUAAGUGGCAUUUAGGCACAUAAUUGAAGCUUUUCUACCAAUAAUUUGUAAAACAACUCAUCAAACAUGCCUAAACUAACACCUAAAUUAGAUCAUUUUGAGCACUUAUCAGGUUGGUUUAAAUUAAUUUUUUUUCUCAAGUCAGAAACAGAGAGACGAGACAUAGAGAUGUAUGACAUGAGCGACAAAAAAAAUUCGUUUGGUUUUCCUUUCUCUUUUUUUGACUCGCGAUUGUUUUUCACACAUGUUCUAGACUUAAAUAUGGUUUUAGUUCAUACAAAAUUAUACAUUUUUAAGUUUAAUCCCUAAAAAAAAAUAUGUCCACUUUUAGUCCUUAUUUGGAUUUAUAUGGACUAUUUUGAGGACUUAAAAUAUAUUUCGUUUAUGAAAAAGUUUUUUAAACAAGCACUAUUCUUAUAAAGUGCAAUAUUACGAAGGAAAAGCAACGAUUAACUAAUGAAAUAAAUGAGUUCAAGUGGUUUUUUUUAAUGACAAAAUAUAUUAUAUAUAUGGAGAUUAAAUUUCAAGUGUUACACCAAAAAGAGAAAAUAAAAACAUCAAAAAUCCUCAAAUGAGUUCAAAUGGUUAACGAAUCUCACCAAAGAAUAAAUUAUUCUUGAGAACUUGAGUGUGAUUCUUGAAUGGAAAAAAUCUUCUCUAGAAUACCUCUAUAGUCUCACUAUCCGGUAACCACACGGUAAAAACCUCUCCCCCAACCUCUAUAGUCUCAACAUAUAUACACACAUUUUCGAUCCUUAGUCUCAACAUACCUCCGGGCAUGCAUGGUACACCUCACAUAUCUCAGCAAGAACACAAACCAUAUAUAUCAAUCAACUUUGUUUAAUAACAAUGUAUAAUAAUUUUGAAAACUAAUUGUCGUUACAAGUAUAGUUGCAUAGUCCAACUCAAAUUAUUAAUAACAUUUUAAUUUAUACGCAUUACCUUGCCCGUCUAAACGAUACCCCUGCCAUACGGUUGGGUUAAAUCAAAAACAUAUGGCUCGUAUAAGGAGGAUGAGAUGUUGUUAGGGCUAGUCUAAGGGUAAGGCGACCAAACAGUGGCGGAUUUUUUCAGGGACUCAUGGAUGCCAUGGUAUCCCCGGAAGAAUCUAUAAAUACUAUAUUAGCAGUAUUAGAAUAGAUGUUUCUAGGUGUCACAGUGGUAAUAGAGGGUCUUUUUUCUCCCUAUGGUUGCGAGUUCAAGUGCUACCUGCUCCAUUUUUCUGAAUUAGCUCAACUGGCAAAAUGCCGAAAUUGUUAGGCCGGAUGCCAUGAUCGGGGUUCGAACCCCGGUACCUCCACUUGUGUUGUGUGUGUGAGUUUAUAAUGGCUUUGCCAUUUCAUCUAUCUACCAAAAAAAAAAUUAAAUAAUAUCAAAAACAUUUUAAUUUUUAUUAAAAAGUAUUCAAUGUUAAAAAAAAUAUUUAAUGAUAAGAGCUCAAGGGUAAGCUUUUUUUUUUUUUUUUUUAAUAAAAUACUCUUAUUUAAAAAGACAUUGGUAAGGCACGUAAGCGUGAUGGUUUAUGGUUUAUGUCAGCUUAUAGGCUUGUAUGAUAAAAUAAGACAUGUUUGGUUGGCGGUGAAGCUAGCAAAAAAUUUAUGCAGGGGUCAACUAUAAAGAAACAAUAAAAUAUUUUUAAAACCAAUAUAUAUUUUUUAAGACAUAAAAAUGGAAUAUAUUAACAACGGCAUUGAGCCAUUUUAGCACAAGGUGUACCAAAGGGCCACCCCUAGAAAAUCACAGUCAUACAAUAUUUACAAGACAAAGGUCAGUCAAUACCCAAACAUAACAAAGGAUCCGACCACAAACGUGGCAUUAUUCGCUUUAAGCCACCAAAACGAAUGAAAUUUAACUUUCUCUAAAAGUUGGUUUAUGGUGGUUUGGAUAUUACUAAAUAUUUUGUUAUUACGUUCAUUCCAUACCAUUCAGACACAAAGUAACCAUAUGAGCUGAAGAAAAGAUGUACGCUUCUUUGAAGAACCUAUAUGAUGAGUGAACUUAAAGAAAUGGUCACAAAUGUCAUAAGGUUCGACACCUGAAACGCCAAUCCACGACCUUACAUUCUGCCAUAAAGAAUCGAAUAUGUCACAAUGAAGAAUUAAAUGAGAUGCCGAUUCGUCAUGACCGCACCCAGCUACUCACCUAGUUGCCUCGGUAUCAAGCAUGCCACGCCUAACGAGAUUAAGCUUAGUUUGCAACUUGUCUCUCAACAAACGCCAAGCAAAAAUAAAAACCUUCAAAUGAACCUGUUUAUGCCAGACAAGAUUAUUCAUUCCUACAUUUGGAGGGUCGGUUUUGAGCAGUCAGAAUGUGGUAAGCACCGCUCACUGUGUAACCCCCAUCAAUGUCUGGGUCCCACUGCCACCUUUCAAGAACAUCAGUCUGCAAAACAACAUUAUUAACAAGAUGACUACACUCCACUAUCAACUCCUCCUCCCACGCCCACAAUAUUCUCCUCCAACUCCACGCCUCACCUCCAACCUCCCAACCAAGAGCACACAUAUCAGCCACCGCUCACAACUUAUUAGUCGCUAAAUCAAAUAAACGGCUAAACCAUGUACGUAAAGGAACAUCAUCUAACCACCUAUCAUACCAAAAGAAUGUACUUGAUCCAUCCCCAGUGACAGAUCUAGGAAUUUCGAGUAGUGGGGGCAAUAUAUGCGUAUAAAUAUCAAACAAUACAUAUUUACAAUUUUUUGUGAGUUCUCCUAUUUCUAAAUAAGAUAUGCAUUCUCUACUAUGAUGGUUAUUGAUGAAAUCUCUUAUUUUGCCUUUCUUUGAUAAAGGAAAUCACUUAGGAAGAAAAUGCCUUUAAUAUAGCGUGCAUAUAUUAUUAGUAAUUUUUCGGGUAUAAAAUGUUAGUUUUAGUCUGAUAUUAUACACUAUUGAUAAUUAAUACUACACAUAUAUAACUUUUGGAGACCAUUGGUGGAGAACCAUGAAUAGUAAGGGUGCCGAGAAAAUAAAAAACAAAGUGGGGGCACAAGCUUGCACAAGUGACAACGUGCAUCCGUCCCCACUCCUUUCGAUACCCUCUCUGCAAAUCAACCCCCAUUGCGUCUCCUAUCCCAUCCCUAAUUUUCAAUAACUCCCUCCACACAAAAAAAAAAAAAACCAAUAUAUUAAUUUUAAGGAUAAAAUAUUUUUUUUAGUCCAAUAGAUUAUAAUUUUUUAGGUUUAGUCCUUACAAAAAAUGUAUUCAGUUUUUGUCUCAAUUUUUAAAAUUUUACAAAAAAAAUAAGUGUUUUUAGUUUUGUAUUUAAUCUAUAACAAAAAAUUAAGGACUAAAAUCAAACAAAAUCUUAAGAACUUAAUUUAAAAACCGCAAGUGUUGCAGAGACUAAAAACAAAUUUAAUCCGAAAAUUAACCUAUACCUGAAAAUAAAAUCACAAUAAUUUUUACUUAUAUGAAAUGUAAAUUAAAGCAACAACAAAGGAUAAAAAUUGACAAUAAUUAUUUAGAAAAGUUGGGUAAAAUGCAUUUCAAAAAGCCAAAUUUAUCCAUAAUUGACUGUUUACUAAAUAGAUUAAUAAUGUAUUUUUCAAUGUAAACAAAUAGGUUACUUGAAAGAAACUAUUGUCCAUUUAAUUUAUUUAUAACUAUUGUCUUAAUAAUUUUUAUCGUUGAAAAGUUUUCUCUAUAAUUGUUAUUGAGACCGGAAGUAUCAAACCAAUAUAAACAAAUCUAUCAAUCAUAUAUUAAUAUUUUUACUUUCUUACUUAUGUUAAUAUUCAACAACUGAAUUUGUUUGGGUAGCUCAAUAUUUAUUAUUUGAGGUAGCCGGAUAUAAAUAUAUACCAACCAAAUGAAGAAUAAUAUUUUUUUGGGGUAGCCAAGGCUGCCCCUUGUCCAUGAAGGGCUACACCCCCGUGUUUGGUAACUAUCUUUACAGCACGAUCUUAUAGCUUAUUUUUUAUACUUUUUCAAGCAGCGUUUGAUCUUAUAGCUUAUAGUUUAUUGUUUUUUCAAAAAAAUUUAAUGUUUGCUACAAAUUUCUAUUUUUAAAAGAGUUACGUUCAGCAUCGUUCUGAUUCUUUUUAUUUUGUUGGUCAAGUGUUAUGUUUAAUUUUUAUUAGGUAUAAAAACAAAAAUAAAAUGUUUGUCAAAAAAAGUUGAAAUAAAAUAAUAUCAAAAUAAUAUUUUAGAAAAUAAAUAUUAAUUUAACAAUAAUAUAUAAAAGACAUAUUAAAUUAAUAUAUUGAAAUUACAAAAAAAAAAUUAAUAUAUUAAAUAUUAAUUUAUAUAAAAUUUAUUGUGAACUAAAAAUGUUCUUUUAUAUAAUUUUACAUGUUGAACGAUUAUCUUAUCAAAGAGAGUGUAUUGAAAAAUAUGUGUUAAAAUAUGUAUUGCUAGCAUUCCUCUUUUACUAAACAAUUUUAUUAUCUUAUGAGUCAUUGAUCACCAACCAUCAGUCAUCAACUUAAACCAUCAAACAUCAAUUAUAAACUAUAAAGUAGUUUAUCGGUCAUCCGCUAUUUUUACGAAGAGCCUAAGUUUGUAAGGGAAAAAAUCCAAAUUUCAUAUGGGAAAAUGGGACAGUCGUAAAAUGACUGUUAGUAUCACCCUUAUUAACAAAAAAAAAAAAAAUCUUCCAUAAAAAAAAUAUUCCAAAAUUGUUUUUGACCAACUAUCUUUAAUCUCAUAUGCAAAUUAGAUAGAUAUAUGUUUUGUACCUAUCUAAGAAAAAGGGAAAAAAAAGAAAAAUAUAGAUAUGUUUUGUAUGAAUAGUAUGUUACAAUAAUUGUAUGCGAUGGUUUAAGGGAUCCAUGCAUGCCAAAACCAUAAAUAUAUAAUUACUGGAAAAGAUAAACUCUAAUUAGGUUGCUAGAUGCAUGCCUCUACUCUGCAUGGGAUCAUAAAAUUGAAUGGUUUAUAUGAGAUUGGUCUUCCACUUGUCAAGGAGAAGCAAACAAUCAAUAUAUAAAGAAUAAAAUUACCAAUAACCCUUUUUUUUCCUUUGAUGGCUAUGACAGUAGUGUUCUCUAUUGAUAGAAAACUACUAAACUUAGAAUAUAAUAACAAAUUUUUACCCUAAAUAUAUUCAUUGGCAGAAAUUAACGUUAUUCCAACCUCUAUUCUGCAAAAACAACUCACCCUAAUUUGGGCAUUCAUUGUAUAUCCCUUUCCAUAUAUAAAGAAUAAAAUCAUGUCAAUUGUUGUACUACUCAUAUUUAAUUACCCCUUUCAUUGCAAGAGGAAAGGGGGUUCUUUUCAUUUGACAAAGAAUCAUCCAUCAUGGCAAAAUUGUACCCUAUCUUCCUUUUGACAUGUUUGGUGGUAACAAUAUCUACAUUAGUACAUGCUAAUGUCAAAGAGGACAAAGCAUACUGGGAUAGGAUAGCACCGGUCCUUAAUACGACAUAUUGGCAGCAAAAAGCUUCAGCUGCUGCAAUGAAAAACGACAAAGCUUAUACUCCUGACCCAUAUGCAGUCUCUGGAAACCUGAGUCAUAGUGUUAGCGAGUGAGUCUUGGGAGGAGCUUCAAACCCUGUUUAAUUUGAGAAAAUACUUUCCAUUUUAAUUGCUAUACUUUAUCCUAAUUGCAAAACUACCUCAUUGUUUUCACUAUGUUUCUUGCAUAAAACUUUAAAAAUGUAAUGCAUAGUGACAACAAAGAGAUAAUUUGGCAACUUAUAAUGAAAAAAAACAGGAAAUAAAUUCUCAAUCCAAAUCAGACACAUACAUUAUUGUUACAUGUUUCUUUGUAUCUCUCAUAGAAUUAAUUAUAAGGUGAUCUAUCAUAUUUUAAUAUUUAUUGGUUUAACAAACAGAAUGAUAAUUGGCAACCAAGGAAGAAGGAAUUUGGCCGGGGGUAAAGCACGUGGUCCAUGCAUGGCUACAAACCCCAUUGACAGGUGUUGGAGGUGUGAUCCUAACUGGGCAAACAACCGCCAGAAGCUUGCAGAUUGUGUGAAAGGUUUCGGAAGGAAGACUACUGGUGGAAAAGGCGGUCCUAUCUAUGUGGUAACAGACCCCUCAGAUAGUGACAUGGUGAAUCCACGUCCUGGUACCCUUAGAUUCGGAGUUACAAGAAAUGGGCCUUUGUGGAUCACCUUCGCUCGUAGCAUGACCAUUAGGCUCAACCAGGAGCUCAUAAUGACAAGUCACAAGACCAUUGAUGGAAGAGGAGCUGAUGUUACCAUUGCUAGUGGUGCUGGUAUUACUAUCCAGUUCAUCGAGAAUGUGAUCAUCCAUGGAAUCAAAAUUUUUGACAUCGUGGUUGGAAGUGGUGGACUUAUUAGAGAUGGUCAGGACCAUUUUGGUCAAAGGACUAUGAGUGAUGGUGAUGGAAUUUCAAUUUUUGGCUCUAGCAAUAUUUGGAUUGACCAUGUUUCCAUGAGAAACUGUAGAGAUGGACUAGUUGAUGCCAUUAUGGGAUCCACUGCUAUUACCAUCUCCAAUAGCCAUUUCACAGAUCACAACGAGGUAAUUAGUAAUUAAUUCGAUAGUUACUUAUGUUUUUGCUUAUAAAAAAUUUCAUUCAUGGGUUUGAAAUGAAAAAUAUUACAUGAUUUUGAUUUUGGGUUUUUUUGUGUGUGCAUGUGAUUUAGGUGAUGUUGUUUGGUGCAAGUGAUGGCUAUGGCGGUGAUGAGAAAAUGCAGAUCACAGUUGCAUUCAACCACUUUGGUAAGAGAUUAAUCCAAAGGAUGCCAAGGUGUAGAUUUGGUUUUAUCCAUGUGCUUAACAAUGACUACACUCACUGGGAGAUGUAUGCCAUUGGUGGCAGCAUGCAUCCUACCAUUAUCAGUGAGGGUAACCGAUUCAUAGCCCCUAACAAUGGCCAUGCUAAAGAGGUAUGCAACAGUUAUACUUAUUCAUACAAAUAUAUGCUAUACAAUUUCUAGGUGUGCCUUGGUAAAACACCUUUAUUUGCUAAACUCUUAAUAUUAUUAACAUAUUCUCAUGUCAUGGCUACUAGUUGCAUCCUUAGUUUACAAGGAAAUCUGAAGUAAUUCCCUAUAAAAUACUAUUUUGGUUUUUCAUUGUACUUAUAAAUGUCAUGAUUGAACAAAAACAUAUGAAUAAAUUGAAAUUCAUGAAAACUAAGUCUCACAUAAUUUAUUGUUUGGGUGUUGAUGAAGAUAACAAAGAGGGAGUACGUAGACGAGUCAGUGUGGAAAUCCUGGCAAUGGAGAUCAAUCAACGACGUGUACCUGAACGGAGCAUUUUUCAGACAAGGAGGACCUGAGUUGAAAGACAGACCAUUCUCAAGAAAGGACAUGAUCAAAUCUAGGCCCGGAACUUAUGUUGGAAGGCUUACUCGUUAUUCUGGAAGCCUUAGAUGCAUAGUGGGGAAACCUUGUUAGUCUUCAAAAUUCCCUUCCUGAAAUCAAUCAUCAUUGAUGCACAAAUGGCUUCGGCAAAGGAGAACAAACAAGAUGUGUAAUUUGAAAAAUAUAAUUGUUUUUUCUUGUAUGCUUUUCCUCAGUUUGACAUGAAAGAAAUUGUUACUUUAUAAACAUGUAAAGAUAUUACAAACUUGUUUCAUUCCACAUUCCACACAUUCUUUGAACCUGUAAAAAUCAUAACAAAAUUUGCUCCUCUCCACAAUCCACAUAUUCUUUAAAAAUUGAUAAAUGGAAAUUCUUUCUCCGGAGAGCCAGAAGAUAUACUGUAAAUGGAAAUUAUAUAAAAAAUAAUUUGGCAUACAAGAUGUUUCACAAAAUUAACAUGCAAGUAAUUCACAGUGUCCGUGUGCACGAUUAUUUUUCAAUUGUUUAUCAUAGAUCAACUUGAGCUCGUAAGGGGAUUAUUCAGGCAAUGAAAUGAAUACUGGUCUUUUUUGUUACACCCUACGCACCCGAUAACGAUUUAGCAAUUGUAAAAAAAAACAAGGAAACAUUUCAUCACAGGAACUACAACAUUUGAAACACAUAACAAAAACUUUGUUUAUAUAAUUGAAGAACCUGCAACUUGACAAGAGGAAAUUAAUAAAAGCUCUUUUUGAAAGAAUCUAACAAAUUGAAUCCCAUGGAUCAGAUUCCCGACUGUCAGAAAAAGGAUCUGAAUCCCAUGCAGUUGUCUGAUUUCAGCAGUGGAUGACUUGAAUUUAAACUAACAAAUUGAAUUUCAAUGUAACUUGGAAUAUAAAUCACUUAAUACCAAGCAAUUUGGAAUAUGUGAUGGUCUAAGGGAUCCAUGCAUGGCAAAACCAUAAAUAUCUAAUUCAGGUUUAUAUGCAGCAGAAUAUAUCAUUGCAAAAUGAUUGGAUUAAGUUGCUAUUUAUAUGUUGCCUCUAUUGUGCAUGGGAUAAUAAAAUUGAAUGGUUUAUAUGAUUGGUCUUCCACUUGUCCAGAGAAGCAAGCAAUAUUAUAUUGUGAGAGAUGAGGGGGUUAAAUCAUAACCAUUGGAUAAAUUUUUACCAUGGUGUUAAGUUUUUAAAAUUGCAGCGUCACAUUUUCAUCUAUUCAGUCUUCAGCCAUUUUAGUCUUCUCUUGCUAUGUUAUUGUAUGCAACUGUUCCUUUUUUUUUCAUUCCAAUUUGAAUUUUUAGAUCUGGGGCAAGGCAUUUUUUUUUAUCAACUCUAAUUUUUAGUUUACUAAAAAAAACUCCAAUUUUUUAUAAACAAAGAAUUCCAGCAUUAGAAUCAACCCACGAGCGAGAAAUUGCAGUAAUUGAUUUUUUUACACCAUUCAUCUCUUAACCAAAAAUAAAUUAAGUGUAAAUCAUAAAAUUGUUGAUUAGAAUAUGAAAUAAGUGCAGCCAAAAUGAAGAAAGGUAAAAGGUUUGAAAGAAAAAAGACUAGUUGGAUCCCUCCUUUACAACAACAACCAAGCCUUAUCCCACUAAGUGGGGGUCGGCUACAUGGAUCAAAUGACGCCAUGGUGUUCUAUCGUAAACCAUAUUUGGAUCCAACUCAUUGACCUCUAAAUCCUUUCUAAUGGUUUCUCUAAUAGUUUUUCUAAUAGUUUUCAUUUGUGAUGGUGAAAAUAAUUUUUUAUGAAUAAUCAAAUUAGUUUUUCUAAGUUUCGAUGAACCAUCUACGGAAUUUUCUAAAGAAUUCUUCCCUAAAGUUUAAUUUCAUGAAUGUAGAACCUCCACUGUGAGUUGUGAUGUGAGGAAGGAGAGAACUAGAAUAAAGGAGAACUGGAAAUAAUAAAAGUGGAGGACGAUUCAAGAAUGUAAGAUCACGUGCAUACAAAUGUCAUAUGAACCUUUAAGAUUGAUCUAAUGGUUAUAAUAUAACUCUCUCAUCUCUCACAAUAAAAACCCUCUCGCUAUAUAUAUAUGGCAGCUAAAUUUGGAUGGCAAGAUUCACUACCAUUUCGUUGAGGACAAAAUUACCUCCUUUUUACCUUGAUGGAUAUGACAGUAGUGUUCUCUAUUGAUAGAAAACUACUAAACUGAUAAUAUAAUAACAAAUUAUCACCCUAAAUAUAUUCAUUGGCAGAAAUAAACGUUAUUCCAACCUCUAUUCUUCAAAAACAACUCACCUUAAUUUAGCAUUUCAUAUUGUAUAUCACUUUUCAAAUAUAAAGAAUAAAAUUAUGUCAAUUGUUCUUCUAAUUAUAUUUGAUUACCCCUUUCAUUGCCAGAGGGAAGAGGGUUCUUUUCAUUUGACAAAGAACCUUCAUGGCAAAAUUGUACCAUCUCUUCCUUUUGACAUGUUUGGUGGUAACAAUAUCUACAUUAGUGCAUGCUAAUGUCAAAGAGGACAAAGCAUACUGGGAUAGGAUAUUACCGACGCUUAAUACUACAUAUUGGCAGAAAAAAGCAUCAAUUGCUGCGAAGGCAAACGACAAAGCUUAUACUCCUGACCCAUAUGCAGUCUCCGGAAAUCUGUCUUCUACUGUUAGCGAGUGAGUCUUGUGUCAAUUAUCGUAUUUACCCAUACGUUCAAUUUUAUGGGUGGAACUUCAAACCCUGUUUGGUUUGAGAAAAUAUUUUCCAUUUUAAUUUCUAGUUUCUAUUUUAAUUACAAAAAAGACAUCCUUGUUUUCAAUAUAUUUCCUGCAGAAAACUUUGAAAACUUAAUGCAUGGUGACAACAAAGAACAAUUUGGCAAUUUCAAAUGAAAAACAAAAAUAAAUACAGGAAAUAUUUUCUCAAUUCCAAAUCAGACACUUAUAUUAUUAUUCAAUAGUUAUUAUAUAUUACAUUUUUCUUUGCUUCUCUCAUAGAAUUAAUUAUAAGUGUGAUCUAUCAUAUUUUAAUAUUUAUUGGUUUGUCAAACAGAAUGAUAAUUGGUGGCAUUAACGGAAGAAGGAAUUUGGUGGGGUUGGGCAAUAGUUCAUGCAUGGCCACAAACCCCAUUGAUAGGUGUUGGAGGUGUGAUCCUAACUGGGCAAACAACCGCAAGAAGCUUGCAGAUUGUGUGCAAGGUUUUGGAAGGAAGACUACUGGUGGAAAAGACGGUCCUAUCUAUGUGGUAACUGACCCCUCAGAUAGUGACUUGGUGAAUCCACGUCCUGGUACCCUUAGGCAUGCAGUUACAAGAAAUGGGCCUUUGUGGAUCAUCUUCGCUCGUAGCAUGAAGAUUAGGCUCAACCAGGAGCUCAUAAUGGCAGGUAACAAGACCAUUGAUGGACGAGGAGCUGAUGUUACCAUUGCUAAUGGUGCUGGUAUUACUAUCCAGUUCAUCGAGAAUGUGAUCAUCCAUGGGAUCAAAAUUUAUGACAUUAUGGUUGGAAGUGGUGGACUUGUUAGAGAUAGUGAGGACCAUUAUGGUCUAAGGACUAUUAGUGAUGGUGAUGGAAUUUCAAUUUUUGGCUCAAGCCAUAUUUGGAUUGACCAUGUUUCCAUGAGAAACUGCAGAGAUGGACUCAUUGAUGCCAUUAUGGGAUCCACUGCUAUUACCAUCUCCAAUAGCCAUUUCACAGAUCACAACGAGGUAAUUAGUAAUUAAUUCGAUAGUUACUUAUGUUUUUGCUUAUAAGAUUUUUCAUUCAUGGGUUUGAAAUGAAAAAUAUUACCUGAUUUUGGUUUUGGUUUUUUUGUUUGUUUGUAUGUAUGUGAUUUAGGUAAUGUUGUUUGGUGCAAGUGAUACUUAUGACGGUGAUCAGAAAAUGCAGAUCACGGUUGUAUUCAAUCGCUUUGGUAAGAAAUUAAUUCAAAGGAUGCCAAGGUGUAGAUUUGGUUUUAUCCAUGUGCUUAACAAUUUCUACAAUCGCUGGGAAAUGUAUGCCAUUGGUGGCACCAUGCAUCCUACCAUUAUUAGUGAGGGUAACAAAUUCAUAGCCCCUAACAAUGGCCAUGCUAAAGAGGUAUGCAUCAGUUAUGCUUAGCCAUACAAAUAUAUGCUUUAAAAAUUCUGGGUGUGAUUUGGUAAAACAAAAUUAUCUGCUAAAUUCUUAAUAUUAAUAUAUUCUCAUGUCAUAGCUACUGGUUGCAUCAUUUACAAAGAAAUCUAAAGGAGUUCCCUAUAAAAUACUAUUUUGGUUUUUCAUUGUACUUGUAAAUGUCAUGAUUGAACAAAAACAUAUGAAUAAAUUGAAAUUCAUGAAAACCAAGUCUCACAUUAUUUUCUGGUUUGGUGUUGAUGAAGAUAACAAAGAGGACGUUAGUACCAGAGGCAGAGUGGAAAACCUGGCAAUGGAGAUCAAUCAACGACUUGUACCUGAACGGAGCAUUUUUCAGACAAAGCGGAGCUGAGCUGAUUAACAGACCAUUCUCAAAUAAGGACAUGAUCAAAGCUAAGCCUGGAUCUUAUGUUGGAAGGCUUACUCGUUAUUCUCGCAGCCUUAGAUGCAGGGUGGGGAAGCCUUGUUAGUCUUCAUAAUUCCUAUCCUGAAAUCAAUCAUCAUUGAUGCACAAAUGGAAUUGGCAUAGAAGACCAAAGAAAAUGUAUCAUUUGAAACAUACAAUAGUUUUUUGUUGUCUUCUUUGAAAUUCACAUAAAAACUCUGAUUCUGCUAUUAAAUCAUAUAUUCACAUAAAAAAACUAUGUUUCUGCUAUUGAAUCAUAUUAGUGACGAAGUUGCAACUUGAUCAAUAACCAAUUAUUUGCACAAAAUUUAAUUUCUUUAAAACAUAACAGAAACAAAAAUGAAAGACAAGAAAUUAAUAGUUGAAUCUACAACAAUAUAAUAGUGAAUGAUCGAUCAUGUGAAGAAAUCUUGAACCCCUUUGCCAGCAAAAACUUUAUCAGAAAGUUCAGCUAAAAUAGCAUUAAGAGUAAGCAAAACAGCGCUAGAACCAAAGAUAACACUAAGAACAACACCAGUUGUGCCCAAAACUUUCCCAAAUUCAGGCCAUUCAAUUUCACCGAUUUCUGAAACCACACCGUUCCAGAAAUUGUUUCCUUCUUGCUCCUUCCUCUCUUGCAUUGCUUUCUUCAAUUCCGAUGCUAAUUCGGACUCGUUGAGUUCGGGUUUGGGUUCUGGUUCUGGUUCGGGGUUUGAAGUGGGUUGGUCUUUUUCCUCGACGGCGCGUGGGAGUGUGCAGCGGCGCGUGAGAGUGAGAGAGGGGAGUGAGGGUUUGAGUUUGAAGUUGAAAAAUUGAGGAGAGAGAGUAGAAGGUGGUGAUGGUGUAAAGUGUGGAGAGAGUGUGAGUGUAAAGCUGGUUUUUGCUUGUAGCACCAUAUCUUGAAUGAAUUGCUUUUGGAUAAUGUGACACACUCGCGCUUCUUUUAUUCGCUUCCAAUUUUUAUUUUUUUUAAGGAUUUGGCUUCCAAUCAAAAAUAUUGAGACUCAUUUUUAUCUUUUCUAAUAAAAAUUAUAACUUUUAAUCUCUCACAAAAAUAAAUUGAAACAUUUUAGUCCUUCAUUGGACAUUGAUACAUGAUGUUUUCAUCGAAUGUGUGUCAGUUCAUCCGUAGAUCAUGAUAUAUCUACAUAUUAUGUGACCAUACUAAAAGAUAAUAUGAUUCGCGAUAAUAAUUAAAAAGAGAUAAGUUAAUCGUUAUACGUGUUCUAAAUCUCUAUAUUGUAUCUUCUUCUUCAAACAAUGAACCUCCAUUUAAGAAAAUUCAUCGCCUCCAUUUUUUUAGGUUAUAUGAAUUUUGCUUUGAAAAAAAAAAAAUUGAUGACACUUGUUUAUGAAUAUGUGAGAAUUGAUAUCACUUGAAAGAUAGAAUAUGAAAAGAUUGAUGAGGUUUCAAUCUCAAAAUUGUUGAUGUAGAUUCGACAAACUUUGCAAUAGAGAAAAAUUCACUUGAUAGAGGAGGUUGUAUGCAACAUUAAUUUCAAUCAAUCUCAAAGUUGUUGAUUCUUUUAAACUAAAUAAAGAUAUUUAUACUUUGAUAGAGUUUUGAGUAUUUUGAAAAAAAAGAUACAAUUUAUGAAUUUAUAUUAGGUAUUAGGACUAUCUUGUCUCUUUUCAAUUAUUGUUGGUGAUCAUAUUGUCUCUUAAUUCAAUCUAAUAACAUGUACGCAAUAUCAUGACAUGAUGCAUUGACACAUUGGAUAAAACGAUCAUAUGUUAGCUAAAAAAAAUCAAAUUUUUUAUGUAGGUUCACUUAAGGACUAAAGUAUCCCGAUUUAUUUUUGAGAGAGAUUAAAAGUUGUAUUUCUUUAUUGCAACGGAUCAAAAUGGGUCUCAAUAUGUUUGUCAGGGACCAAAAUAGGUCUACACUCAUCUUUUUUUUAUAGGAUAAUUCACUUUCAAAAUUAUUGAGUCGAUCAAUUAGAUGUUGUUAUUUGUGCAUAAAAGAAAAGAAAACUCUUACAUUUUUAAUUGUUAACUUUAUCUUGAGAGACCAAAAUGUCUUUUUUUAUUAUUUUCACUUUAUUCUCUGCAUAUAAAUUACUAAAUAAUGUCCUUAAAAGUAUAAUUAAGCUACUAAUCAAUUAAUUUUAUUUUAAUUAUAUAAAAAUUAAAAUCUUCUAUAAUGAUAUAUAAAAGGGUACACCCCGUUGGGCUGAAGUUUUUCUUACAUUUUUACCUAUCAUUUAAGCUAUUUUAUCAAUUUUAUAAAAAUAUUGUUUUUGUUAUAACAUUUUUCCUUUCAAUUUUACCCUUCCCUUAUUAUUUGUACUUAUCUAAUAUCAUUAAAGAGUAUGUUCCACGACACAUGAUCCAUUCUUUUAGAUGAAAAUUAAAGAAAUAUCAGAUUACUCUUCAAUGAUCAAAAACUAUCUAUCUAUUAGCCGUUCGAACAGCUAAAAAGAAAAAGAAAAAAUCCAAAAUUAAAUGGAUGAUUCAUCAGUCAUCAAUAAUGAUGCUAUCUUGUUAUGAACAAUUUAAGUUUGCAUCCCAAAACCCUUGGAGCGUGUCCAUGGGGUUAAGAAAAAGAGUUUCAUUUCAAUUUUAGAGGUUAAAAGUGGUUUUAAAAGUUGUAGAAUUGAUUUUAUUAUGGUAUAAUGAUUUGAAGGAGAAUUAAUUUUGUUUGUAGAAUUUAUUCUACUUGAAAGCUAGAAUUUGUAGCGGUGGUACACUUCUAUAUUUGAUUUAAGCCGCCAUAAGUUUAUUGUUAAAUAUAUUUUUUACAUAAAUACAUCUAAACAAAAAUACUUUUAAAUUCAACUCAUUAUUAUCAAGAAUCAAUUGACUCAAAAUCAACUAUUGUCACCGUAAAAUCAAUCAUACUCAAGAUUACAUAUAGGGCAUAUCAUCAGUUAAAUUUUUUAUAGUUAUCCUCAAUACAUUUUAUUUUUUUUACAAAAGUUAUCCUCAAUACAUGUGAGUGUCUUAGUCUAUUGUGCCAUGUUAAGAAAGAAUUAAAAUCUUUAGAAGAAGAUACAUUAGGCAAUUAAGUGCAAACAUUUUUUUUUUACUCAAAGCGCAAACACAACAUUCUUUAUUUGAAAAGAGAUUAGAAAAAUAUAGCAAGAUCGUUAACUCAUUAAUCUAUGUAUCUAUUUCAAAGAGUAAAAAAAAGUUGAGAGGGAGAAGAAAGGUAAAUUUAGGUCACAUCUUUGAAAAAUAUUGAAGGUAAAAAAAAGUUGUUGGAGGGAGUGCAAAGUUGAGAGGGAGUUAUGGAUGUCUCAAAAACUCAUAUAUUGUAUGCUUAAAUGCGUUUUUGGUCCUUUAACUAUUUAUUUGUUAUCGUUUUGGUCCCUUACCUAAAAAAAAAUUGUUUGAGUAAUUUAUCUUUAUCUCCAUUACCUGAUUUGGUCCCUUCUGUUAAAUAAAUUCAAAAACUGUUAAGGUUUAUAUUAUUCAUCUUCUUCCUUCUCUUUCCAUUUCCAUCAUCUUCAUCAUCAACAACACACCAACCCAGAAAAGAAAAAAAAAAACUCUUUUUCAUCAUCUUCAAAACCCAAAUCCUCUUCAUCAAAUCAACAAAUCCUUCAAUCUUUCCUCUUAUGUGUUGAAUCUCAAACUCAAAGUUUCCUUCUUUGAAUAAUCAUCUGUUGAAUCUCAAACCCAAAUGAUCUUCAAUUUUCUGACUUCUCUCUCUUCCCUGCAAUUCUUCACCAAACUCUCUUUCACGUCGGCCGCCGCCUUCUCUCUCCCCUUUCUCUUCCAUUCUUCUAUUUCUUUUAGUUAAGGGACCAAAGCGAUACCAAAUAAAUAGUUAAGGGACCAAAAACACAUUUUCUCAAAUUACAAGUGGGUAAACCUAAAUUUUCUCAAAUUACAGGGGUGAAAUUUUCCAUGAAGGUCUAAAACCAAAAAAUCUUCAAAUUACAAAGAUGAAAUUCAAAAAAAAUAUUUUACAGGGGGAAAACCAGAAAUGAUCUAUAUUACAGGGGGUAAAGCACUAUUAACCCUUUAUUAAAUCAACAUGUAUCUUAUCAAAUUAGUGGGGUUUCAUAUAAUUUUUGGAGAAACUCAUGAAUUUUUACAAAUAAAGAAAGUUUGACAAAAAAAUGUGUAUUAAUGGGUAUGAUAAGAUUUCGGAUUAUGCUCCUCUCAAGUUCUGAUAUUCAAAUCAUAAGGGGAAAAAUGAAGGACGUUGUUGAUCCUCUUUUCAAAGAAAAAAAAAAAAAAGUUCUCAUGUUUGAAUCUUCUCAAUGCUGGUAAUUCAUGUGUUUGGUCAGUUCAUACGUUGUUUUUAAGGGAUUAGUCGAUUAUGGGCCAUAUACCCAAUUUUCAAGACAAUUUGACCCUCGUAUAUGUGUUUUGUCUUAGUUAGUUUGAUCAUCGAAUCUAUCUUAUAUUCGUCGAUUUGGUCCAUACAAUUACUAAUACAAGACAAACACGUAUAGUUUUCAAGCUUCGAUUCAAUCAAAAACACAUAACAAUAAAAGUUGAGAAAACAACAAAAUACUUAAAGGAUCUCAAAUGACAAAGUGUGGUUACAAGUUAAAAACAAUGAAUCAGUUAUGAAAAUAGAUUUGCAAAGAUAUAGAAAGUUGCAACUUCAUAUAGCUUCUUGAAGACCAAGUAACCUUGAGGGUUUUCUAACAAAAUCAUGUUUUAAUAUUAUAACUAAAAAUAACAUGUUUUAAUAUUAUAACAAAAACAUGUAUAAAAGCCUAAAAAUAACAUGUUUUAAUAUUAUAACUCAUUCUAUUCCGUCAAUUUUCCAAACAAUGGAAUGAGAAAUCUGUUCCAAACUAGUUUCAUUGAAUGAUUAAUUUUUUGAUAUUGCAUGACAUUAGCGAUUUAAAACCCCAAUUUCCUUUUGGCACCCGUUCGUAAGUGUUUAUGAACAAACUGAAGUUAUAUAUUUCAGUUUAGUCCAUUCAAAUUUUUUUCCGUUCUAAUUUGGUCACUUAGAUUACAACAUUGAACACUUUGGUCCAUUUAAAAGCUCAAACAAAAAUAUGUUGAAUUUUAGUUUUGAUCUUUUAAGUUAUUUUUGCACUUCAAAGCUCUAAAAAAAAUGUUUUGUAUUAUUAAGUUACAAACACUACAUUGUUUGGUCCAUUUAAAAAAUUUCCCUUCUAUUUGGUCACGUAAAUUAUAAACAUUGUACAUUUAGUCUCUCAAAUUACAAACACUAGACACUUUUAUCAUUUUUUACGUUUGUAACUAAGGGAACAAUUGUGCCAAAAAAAAAACUAAGGGAUCAAAAUAUUUAACAUGUGAAAUUCAAGUAACAAAAAUGUCCGACAUUUGUAAUUUAACUUAUUGAAUUUUAUUUAUAAUAUUAAUAAGAGUUUAUCUGCCUUUGCAGUUAUAUUUUUAUGAUUAGGAUUGCAUUGCAUGUGCCUUUUGGUCCUUUUAUGAUUAAGUGUGUGUUUGAAAACGAGUUUGGAAACCCAAUACCACUUCCCAAUACACUUUCACCGUCAAAAAUCUAAAGCUAAUACACCAAGCUUCUGCCUUGUCGUGAUUCUGAACGUGAUUUUGGAUUAGAUGUCAUUCCAAACAUGCUAUAAGAUGUGUUAUCGAUAACGAAGUACUCCCUGUUGACUACUAAAAAGGAAAAUUAUGGUCCCGACUAUUGGUUGGGAAGAAGAAUUCAUGAGGGAAAUUCUUUGAAAAUAAAGAAUUUUUGUUUUAAAUCGAAACGAAAGAGUAAUAAACAUUAGAUUUUCAUUGUUGGUACCAAAUAAUAUCCAAGUAAGUUUAUUUAGUUUGUUAAGCUAAUCUACAUGGUUUCGUUACAUUUUUAAGCUUAAAAACUAACCGAUUUAAGUAGAUUUUUAAGGCAGCUAAAGAGAGAUUUUUCUUAUUUGGUUUGGUGAGAAUGAUAUGAAAAUCAAAAGUUUUCAACCUUGUUUCCAAUUAUCAAACCAAAAAGGACAUUUUAGUUGGAAAGAUCAUAUGAUGAUUGAAAACAACGUAAAAAAACCUUCUAAUUCAUCAUUAAUCAAACCCCAAAUACUAAAAAAACUGUCUUAGUUGACCUUGUAAGUCUACUUAGUUGACUUAGAAAGUGUACUUUAAUUUAUAGUUUGUAGCUUGAAGAGUUAACAAAAAUAAGUAUUUCAGUAUAACAAAUGAAAUACAAAUUACUUAGUUGGAUAUUGUUGGGUGCAAACUAUACGUGGAAGUCCCAUAUAUGUUUAUCUAUCUUUGGCUUUUAAAAAAUCAUUUUCUCCAACUAAUAUUCCUCCCACAAGUAUUCAGUGAUUGGUAGUUGGUACCAUAAUUUUCCUUUUUCCGUUGUCGAUUAUGAGUACUUCAUGAUCGGUUAACUUUAAUUUAAAUCGACACUACUUUGACCAAGACAGUGCUACAUGAUCGAGGUAUCAUCCUCAUUAUUGGUCUACGUUUAUUCAUAAGACUUCUACAAGUAUCAUUUCCUCUAUUGAAUUCAUUUUUAAGUGUUUAUUUUUAAGUUAUGAGGAUGUGAGGAAAAUUUACUGGCUUAAAUGGAACAAGGUUUGUCUUGAUAUGGAGAAAGGAGGUUGGAGGUUCAUGGAAUUCAGGAGUUUAAUUUGGCACUUUUAGGUAAAUGACGUUGGGAUGCAUGUGGAUCAUAGGGGUAAUAGUAUAAGGUUUUGGUGGCUAGGUAUGAGGUGGAAGAUUGGCAAGUGAAGGAGGGAGGAAGAAUGGGGUCAACUUGGUCGAAAGAUAUUGUUGGUAUCCGAAGAAGUGUGGGUUUGAAGGUGAAUAAUUAGUUUGAUGAUAAUUUGGUGAGGGUGGUCGAUAAUGGGAUCAAUUUGUUGUUUUGGUUUGGUUCGUGGUUGGAUGGUGGUCCUCUAUGUGUUAGAUUCAAAUGACUUUGAGUUAUCUAAAAAUUGUUUGGUGACGGUUGAUGAGAUGUUUGAUUUAAGGUGGGUUGUUGAUGGUGAUGGUUCGAUUUUUUAGAAAUGAUUGGAGAAUACAAAAACUGAUAUCGCACACAUCGUAUUCUUUUAUGGUUGAGACAGAUUUUGCAUCUUCUUUUAACUCGACUCAUUUUCCGUGCACAUAAUUUGAGGGACAAAUGUUAUGUCGUGUCUAUACGAUAUUGAUAUGAUUAGUUCCAAUAUAAUUUCUCUUGAUUUUUGGAGUUGUCUAUUUAAAAUCAGUUCAAUCUUGUGUGUAAAAUAUUGAAUUCCUAGUUGACUCAGAGAAUAGACCCAUAAUAUGUUCAAAGAGCAAAAGCUUGUGGAGAUAUUUUGAAACCCCGUUGAAAGAAGAUCAUAACAAGACCAAAAGACAAAAAAUAUCUGAUAUCUCACAUGAUUUAUGAAAGUUUUUCAUUGAAUGUUAACAAAGUAAACAAUUAUUUUGAUUUCUAAAUUUAUAAUAUGGUUUCAAUAAAAUCCAUGAAUGUCCCAAUUAUUUCUCUAAACACUCUUAUUAGGUCUAGGACUCCUUCUGAUGCUUAAUUGAGGCUUUGUUAUCUGAAGAUUUGACGGAGAUUUCAUCCACAACAGGUCCCAAAUAUCUAUGAUCUUGGGAUUGAUCCAUGUUUUGAGUUAUUUGCCCAGAGCCAAAAGCCUAUGAUUUUUGAAGAAUUGUGUUUGACCCAACCUACCCUUUUGGUGUUUGUGUAUUUUUUUUUUUAAUUUUAAAUAUGAAUGAAAGUAUAGAAAAUAAAAAAUAAGAGAGAUAGAGAUAAACAUAUAUAGGAUGAUAUACGAUUAAUAUUCAAAUAACAUAAUUCUUUAUCUAAAGACCGUACUGAAGCAUUCCGUUUAAAUUGAUUUGAUCAAAUUAAAUAAAUAUAAAACAUUUUUAUAAAAUUACAGAGAAUGAUAUAGUAACCCUUCUUCAAAUUGAUGCAAGUUGAUCAAGGAGCUUCAUUUUGUAACAAAAAAACUAUUGUUUUUUUGUGAGCUUUGGUUAACACAUCAACCUUCUCGCUGAAGAGUAGUAAGCAGGUUAUUAUCCAUUUCAUUGUUGUUAGACUCAAACUUAUACCUACUUCCAUGUCCUAGUCUACAAACAAGUGGAAGAGACUGAAUUCAAACCUAAGUAGUAAAACAUUUCAAUAUUGAUGGAAAAAAAAAAAAAAAAGUUAUACUCAAAUAUAUCUAUUAUUUGUUAUUGAUGCUUUUUGUUAUAAUGUUAAUUGUUAUACUCAAAUACUAUCGAUUCCAUUGUUACUUUUUUUUUUCUUUUUCAAAUGAAAAUAUACGCCCUUGCUAACUUAGACCUUUAUGUUUUUAGGUUGGUCUAAGUUAACAAAAGUGUCACAAGUAUAUCCCCAUGGUGGGUAACAAAAACACUAUAACAUAUGCUACAACAAUCCCGAGUACGAGGCGUACACCAGGAUCUAAAAAAAAAAAAAAAAUUAAACCCUACUUACUACUGUAUGCAAGAUUUGUUAAGACUGGUUUUACCAUCAAUUCAUCAUCAUCGCAUUAAAAACAGCAUCACUAUCUGAACUAUAUAACCAACCAUAUAAUGUGACCUACUAAGAACAUCAUAUGCAAUUGAAUUGAGAAGUGUAGUACUCCCUCCAAAGGGGUAAACUACAAAACUGUCCAUCAAAAUCCGAAUUGGAUACGAAGAUGAUUAUUUUAAGGCAGAACUGGGUAGAACAAAAUCAUUUGCAAGUCAGAAGAAACAACUGACAAGUAUAAAGUUUUAUGAAAGAGAAUGCUAACAACACAAUAAGAGAUUUCAGCUAAGGACAAAGAAUACGGUUAGAAAAGGGUUGCACUUCUACAAUCCUCAAAGUUGAAUUUAUCAGUAACAAGAAUCCUUGUACACUUGGAUUCAACAAGAUAACUAACUUAUUUACUUCGGAUUUUAACUUUCAAAGCCCAAUUAAGCUUGCCCUCCGGCAAAGGGAUGGACCUCGGUAAACGUAGUGGCACCUCAUAUUCUCCAAUGGUCGAUAAAGGUGUUGGAAGAUGCAGAUUUUCAGCUGUGAUGUUCACACAGAGUUGUCUUGCAACCUAAAAAUGACACAACAAUGAAAGAGGGUUGCUUAUGUAUAUAGGAGAGAAAAGGAAUAAAAGACCCUGUGAUAUGACAGUGUUAGUAAUAUACUAUAUGUUAUAAUUUCUAUGAAAAUAAAUAAUCCUUGGUCUGUAUUGCAUGCCAGAUGAUUGCUUUAGCUUGUGCUCUAUCUACAGCACAUUAUCAUAUCAAAGAAAAUUAUACUGGUUUGUAAUGUUAGUUUCUGUUGCAAUCCACAUCUUAUUUGAAAAUUGGGUUCUUAUUUUUUUUUGAACAAAAAAUUGGGUUCUUGUUAAAGAAAAUUAGGAUCCAUUUUCAUCCUAUUAACUUACUCCCUCCGUCCCAUUAUAAUUGACCCUUUUGCUCAUUUCACACAUAUUAAAAGAAGUGUAGUAUAAGUGAAAGAGUGAGAAAAAUGGUUUUGAGUGCCUUCGUUAAGUAUUGGUGCAUUCUUCUUUAUCAUAAAUGGAAAGUAGAAUAUAUUGAAUUGGAAGUUGUGAAAGUGUAUUAUUUGAGUUAUAAUUGGAAAAAAGUAAUUAAUAUUGUAUUGGAAAAUGAAAUGGGUCAAUUUUUUUAGGACAAUAUUUUUUUACAAAUGGAUCAGUUAUUAUGGGACGGAGAGAGUAAGAGAUAACAGAAGAGAAAUAACAAAAUACUCCUUCCAUCCCAUAAUAACUGAGUCAUUUGUAAAAAAAUAUUGUCCAAAAAAAAUUGACCCCAUUUCACUUUUGAAUACAAUAAUAAUUAUUUUUUUUCCAAUUAUAACUCUAAUUAAUACUACCUCCAUCCCUAAUUAUAAGACCCUUUUGAGAAAAAAAAAUUGUCCCUCUUUAUAAGACCCCUUUGAUAUUUCCAAGUACACUAAUUAUUUCUUUACCAACCUACCCUUAUUUAUUUUGCAUCUUUUUCCUCAAUCAACAAUAAAUAUUAUGUUGAAAACAUAAAUUAACUCUUCUCUUAAGGAUAAAAUUGUAAAAACAAUAGUAAUUAUAUACAAAUUUAAUACUACAACCAACUUUCUUAAUCUCCACAAUUUUUGCAAAAGGGUCUUAUAAUAAAGAAGAAUUUCUUGUUUCUUUAUCAAUCUUGUAAUUCUUUCCAAAGGGCUUAAAUACUGGGACAGAUUGAGGUUUGUACCAAAAUAAAAGUAGGGUUUCCAAGAGGUUGGGAAUUUGUUGGUCUGAAUAUAUCAACAAAGCAAAAGGGUAAACAGGCCAAGAAAGUCCAUCUUGCGGCAUUAAUAUUAGUUGCAUUUUUUUAACAUCGUAAAGUUUUAAUUUGUUACUUACUUAGUUGCUAUCAAGAAAACAUUUAAAUAAUGAAGAACAAAUAUUACCUCGGCCACAAGAGCAUUUUUUGACACUGGUAUCUGUAACUCCAAGGGCUCGUCUUUUGAUUCACGUGCCUUCGCUUUUUUAACAUCAAUUAACCUCCGCAAGACCUAUUAGAGUAUCACAUUAACUAGUGAGUUUUAAAAAUGAAAGACUAUCAAAUUAUCAGGUAAACUUUUUCUCCUAAAACAUCAGCAGUUGCCGUCUUUGCGAGUAUCAUCACAAUCAUAGUUUAAAAAAACCAAGCCAGACGAAUCAACAAGAAAACCCAUAAAUAAGUAAAGUGGCAUGUCCGCUUAAUCUAAACUGCCAGCUGGAAACAAAUGAAGUUUAGUUGAACAAAUCCAAAACCAAUGACGGAGAACCAGUUUGAACCAAGUUUUUUUGUAAUUGCUUCAACAUUUACAAUUCAACCCAAAAACAGUAACAUGAUAAAAUUUUGUUAGCUUACUGUAUAAUAUAGGGCCAUCUUAUCUCUUCCUUAUUCGAGCCCAGGUUAUGGACGAAGGGAAUGAGACGGAAAUAGCAGCAACAACUGGGUUUAUUACGUGACAGCUCAUGAUGUUCAUAUCGAUCUAUUAUGCGCCUUUGCAUUUGGCUUUGGUUAGACCUCAUACAAUAACUGUCCUAACUCUACCGUAUCGUAUUAUAUAAUUUUCAACAUAAAUUUUCACACCAAUUCAACCACAAUUGAACAAGUGAACUAUAAUACAUUCACCAGUUCAAUGACAAGUCUAGUUUCAGAAAAGUUCAUUUGCACUUUAGCUAUGGCAAAUUCCUCAACGAAUGGCAAUAAAUAUGAAACAAUCGUCUGACUAGAAAAUUAUUCCCAAAAAAGGACCACAAAUGGUCUCAAUCAAACAGGCUUGAAAGGCUUUGAAGAGUAAACUACUAACCAGCUUAGCUUUAUCAAGAAUCAGUGCUGCCCUUUCAUACUCUUUCAUCAAAUCUUCCUUUGACUCGGUAACAACAACAACAUCUUCUUGCUUCACUUCUUCAGUAGGUUGAUAAAUCUGAAACAUUUAAAACAUAAUUCUAGCAAUUGAUGAAGGGACCAUAACUUGUUAUAAAGAAUAGCUAUGUGAGUAUGCAAAUGUAUAUUUUUCAAGCAUACCAGCACAGAAAUAUAACGUUGACAGUGUUUAGUGUUUACUGCAGACAUUCACAUAAACAAAGACAGGGAAAGGACUGUCUUCAGAUCUGAAAUCUGACAGCACUGUCAUGAUUCAUAUAAAGAAUUUAAAGUUACUCCAUAACAAUGUUGUCAAUCACAUAUCACGAAAUAGCUGCUAGUUCAGAUUCAGCUACACAGUAGUGCUGUAGUGCCACUCUAGCCACUUUUUUGUACUAUAUAACUUAAAACGGAACAACAGUGAUUUGUACAAAUUUUGCUAAGCAAUAGCACCACUACUUAGCAUGUUCCGCUAUGGCACACUAAUUACUAUGAAUAUUAUAAAAUUCAAAAACAUGAACUCCCAUAAUGGUGACUGACAUUGACCACAUAACUGUAUAGAUUAGUAGGUAAACACACAGAAGGGAGUAAAAGAAAACCUUGCGCUGCUCAGUGAGGAGAUAAGCAAACUUAUCAAUGUUAGGGACAGCAAGGAGCUUGGGCAUUAGGUGGUUGCGAAAAAAUCCAGGAGCAACUUUGACAGUUUCGCCAGCUUUUCCCAGCUUAUCUAUGUUCUAAAAAUUGAAAAUUAUAAACAUCAUAAGUUUGAAUCAAAUCCAAUCCCAGAAAACAAACAACAUAAGAUAGAUCAGGGUUUUAAGUAACGCAAUCUAAACCGCGACAUAAUAGUUUUCAGAGUCGCUAAAAUUGCAAUGCAACCACGAUUGAAGUCGCAAUAGCACUAUUUGGAACAGAUUGAACCUAACUCCACCUGAAAAUCAUGGCUCAAAAGGGAGGGUUGGCCAAUCCUAUAUAAGCCCUCAUUUGAUGUGGGACUCCACGUUGGGACAUCUCUUAUCCCAUGUGGGACUCUUUGACAAAUGUCAAAUGUCUCGACGCGACCACAACUGUUACCGCGGCCCCCAAUUUAAAACCCUAAGAUAGAUACUUACAGUUGUAAGAAUAACUUGAAGCUUCCGAUUGUAACGCAAUCCUUGAGAUGCAUACAUGAGUGGGUUCACCACAACACCCUCAUUAACCACAUCUUUAAAUCUAACAAUCUGCCUAACACUAUAUCUUCCAAAUUGAAGAUACCCCAUUCUGAUUCGGAUUCAAAUGCACAGUAACAACACUUUUCUCUCUGUUAAAACUCAAAAAGAUAAUCUUGUAUCAGUAUCAAAACCAAUAAUUUCAUUUCUUCAUAAAAUCAGAAUAUGCGAAAGAAAAUGAAAGCCUCUGUUAUCAAAGCGGAAACGCGGCGCGGCGCGGCCACCCCAAAAAUUGACGCGGCGCGGGAGCUAUUUCAUGACACGGACACUAAUAUAUUUAAUACUAAAAUACUAUAAUGUUGAAGAAAAAAAAUACUAAAACAACUUAAAUAUUACUCAAAAUUCAUAAUGUAUUCAUGAUUUGAAAUAAAAAAUACUAUAAUGUUUAUGCAUAAUAUGAAACAACACAAUCCCACUACAAAUCUACAAUGAAUUAUUCAAACAUUUUCCUUUACAAAGCAUUUAGUCAAUUGAAGCAAUAGUUUGGACAAAAGAUAAAUAGUUUGGACAACACUUGUAAAUGUUGAAAAGAAUUAAAAUAAAAUAAAAACUCUUAGAAUUAAAACAUUGAUAACGAAAAGAAGAAUUAGGAUGAAGAUGAAGUAAAAGCACGAUUAACAUGUCAUUGAAAUUUGUAAAAUGAAAAUAGAGGAAGGGUAGCGAAUCAUAUUGGAAAUACCUGUCAGAGUUAUCGAUUGCGAGUUCGACGUCUGACGAUGGGAGUGAAAUGCGAGCUAAAGGCGGCUGCGACUGGAAGGGAGCUUCAGACUGAUUAACUCAACUCUCUCACAAAAAUGUCACGAAGAAUAAUUAAUUUUUUUUACGAACAAAUUCAGUAACUAUCACAUAAUCACUUUCUCCCUCUAAAAGAUUCAUUUUUAAUCACUUUUUAAUUUUACUUCUUAUCAACAAAAACACUUUAAUUUGAUUAUUAUAACUUAUAUAAUUGAAUAUAGUUUUUAAAAAAUAAAAAAGAAAACCAAAAAAAAUAAAAAAAAUGAAUGAAGGCUAUGAAGUAGGCUUCAAGGUUUGUUUAGCCUAUAGAAAAUUGCUUUUCAGAUAUAGAAAACUUCCUAUUGACACAAGUAAAUGAUCAAAUUACCCCAGCGUAAUUAACUGUCUCUGGCAUGUGCGCCGGCAGUUAACUGCCGCUAGCACCUCCGGAUGCAGUUAACUGCCGCUGGCUUUGCUGCUUUUUAUUAAGAUUUUACGCGUUUCGGUAGAAAAUCAAAAUAAACCGAAAGUUAUUAAGAAUUCUACGAAACUUUACAGACACAUCUAUAAAAAAUACAUAUAGAGGUGUCUCUAAAGUUUCGUAGCAUUUCGACUAAGUCUCGAUUUAUUUUGAUUUUUCGACCGAAUCAUGCAAAAUCACAAUUUUUUUUAAGUGCGAGUCCGAAAAAGUGUCCUAAAGGUUGAACUUUUCUACGCUUUUUUGCACUCAUGUUUAGAACAAAAAAUUUAAAUUUUUCGACAAGGGACGAAUUAAAUAUGAAUUUUUAACGCGCCUAAAAUUUAAGACACGAAAACAUCAAAACAUCAACCUAAAAAUUGAAUUUUUAGCUGUUUUUUUGCAGACACCUCUAUAAAAAUACAUAUAGAGGAUCUGAAAAUUUUCUUAGUAUUUCGAGUAAUCCUCAAUUUAUUUUGAUUUUUUUACUGAAACGCAUAAAAUUGCAAUAUUUUUCUAACUUCACGUCCGGAAAAGUUAUAUAGAGGUUGAAUUUUUUUUCAUUAUUUUUUACACAUAUUAAGAACAUAAAAAAAAACAUUUCCCGCAAAAAAUUAGAAUUUUUCGACAAUUGGAUGGAUUAAAUAUGAAUUUUUAAUGCGUCAAUAACUCAAGAAACCAAAACAUCAAAAUGUCGACCUAAAAAUUGAAUUUUGAUCUGAUUUUUUGCAGACGGCUCUAAAAAAAUAUAUAUAGAGGGUCUGUAAAGUUUCGUAGAAUUCUGAAUAAAUUUCAAUUUAUUUUGAUUUUUCGACCGAAACGCGUAAAAUCAUAAUAAAAAGCAGCAAAGCCAACGGCAGUUAACUGCCUCUGGAGGAGCCAGCGGCAUUAACUGCCAGCGCAUAUGCCAGAGGCAGUUAACUACCGCUGGGGGUAAUUUGGUCAUUUACUUAUGUCAAUAGGAAAUAUUCUAUGUCAAAAAAGCAAUUUUUUAGCCUAUUUAGUAGAUCAAAUGAGCUAUAUUUGAUGGCUUUAUUAUAAAGAAGGCCUGAAAGUAAGCUUUCAAACAAGGCUUGUAAUUUUUUUUCGUAGGCUUGACCUAGCCUAUUCCCACCUCUAAGUGUAACCCUUUUGCAUAUUCUUAUAGAUUAAUAAAACGACUUGAGCUUGUAUUGAGUAAAAAAAAUGCAAUUUGUGUGGAAAUUUUCGGUAAUAUUUGACAUAUCUCCAAGAAUAAGAUUAAAUAAAGUGAUUCAAUCCAAUCAAACACUCAUGCUUUUAUUUUACUUAAUAAAUGGGUAUAGGAUGAAGAACAAACCUACUAUGCAUAUAAAUCUCCUUGUCACAAUAAGGAAAUAAAAACCCCAAAAUUUUCGAUAACAAAUAAAAUAUCGUUGGUAAAUAACUUAGUUCAACUUUCAUUUUGUAAUACUUAAUCUCAUUUCAUCCAUCAUUAAAUAUCCAAAAAACCAAUGAAGAUUGGCCAAGUUGAUAAGGAGUUAACUCACCCGCAAAGUCGUGGGAUCAACUCCCAUUGACCUCUUUACAAAAGUUAAUUUGUGCUAAAGCAUAGUAUUUCUUGUGCUCAUAAAUCAUUAAAACUCGCUAUAACACAUGCAUCUCAUACAUUUGAUGGUAAAAAGUAGUCACUGUUUUGGAAAACAUAAAGUAUAACAAGUCACAACCAAAUGCCACAUUCAAAAGCAACUGGCAUAAACAGGUAGAACCAAACCAAACUCCUGUUGGCAGCUCAAUUUUCUUUACAACAUAUAAUCCAAAAUCACUAGCUUGAAUAUAGAAAGCUGUUUGUUCAUUUGAUACAAUGUAGAAAUUAUAAAGAUAUACAAGAAAAUCACAACAGAAAAUAGCAGGUAUAUUAUGAUUUAUGCAGGCAAAAAGUUACUGCUGAAUAAGUAAAAAUUAAGAAACGCCUAAAAGCUACAUAGUCAUCGUAUGAGACGCCAUCAACACUUGGUCGAAGUAGCCCUGCAAAAUUAAAGCAUGAUCAAAUCAAAAUAAUGCAAAUUACCUUUAUUGCUUUGUAUAGUAAAACAGCAGUGACAAAAUGUUAUUAUUAUGUCAUGAAGGAAACAACAAUAGAUAUUCUCUUUUUGGAUGAGUUAACACAAGUUCCUGAGGUCAAUCAGAGUUUUCAAUCUAAUCGCAGAGUUAUAACUAUUUUUGUGAUAAACUGGACGGAAAGAAUACUAAGCAGAGGAAAAUUUGCCUUCCGCUGCAGCAUCAUUUAUUUUUGGCAAAGGAAUAUCCUUUAGCAGUCCACAGAUGCUAUCACUGCCUUGAUUUGUAUAUUCAAUAUGAAAUUUACAGUGUCAGCCUCAGUUUGUUUUAGCAGUCCACAACUAGAUUUCCAUAUGAAAUUUUUAUACUGGACUGAAUCUGACUAAGAAACAGUCCAUCAGUUGAAUAAUACGAAAGCAAGAUAUGCUAAAUGACAGGAUAUGAUAAUUUAUCUUAUCACUACACAACCAAAAUGACCCUAAAUGUUUGUUUGAAGUUGGGUUUGUGUUGCACCUAUGUGUAAAUAAAACUACCUAACUGGUGAAAACAAUAAUUCCCUUCACACAAGAGCUUUCAUCCUUAAGCUUCAUUAUGUUUUCACGUGCAGAAGUUGCGUCAACUAAACAACUUUUAGAAGUGGGUAAACAGUACAUAUUAUUAAAUUGUGAGGAAAAUCAGAGUGAUAAUCACUAUUCAACCCUCCCUGGGGUAUAGAAAAUAAGGAACCCUGGAAUUUAGACAGGUGCCACUUAGAAUGUAAGCAUGUUAUGCAUCUUUCCACAUGAGGGAAAAUAUUGUAAGAGUCAAAUUUGAGCUAAAUCAAACCUCAACAACGGCCUUCGCUGCUUCUCCAGAUUAUCCAAACCACCCGGCACAAUAGUAUCUGAAGCUGACCUGUCUAAACUAGACAAUGACUCUGCAAUGUCUUUAAGACCCUGCAAGUGAAAACGGAAUCAUCAAGCAUACUAUAAGUAGUAAACUCCAAGUUAUGAAAGCAGGACAUUAAAGCAUGAGGUAAAUAGCAUCUUAUGCCCCGUAUUAUCAAAUGACAAACUAAUCUGCAACACACUAAGUGAAAAUAGAUAACAAAGUACAAGGUAGAAGAAUACCUGAAAUCCUGGAUAUGUGAGCAUACUAGUAGACCUCCCUGGAAGUUUUGGUUGUUCCUUUGGAAUAGUUCCCUGAAAAUACAAGACAUAACAUUAAUAAUUAAGCCACUAGAUGGAUCAAGAAAUGUUUAAAGCAAUGUAAUUUAAAAUGUGAGUUCUAGAUAUAAGGUCCUGUUUUGUUUCCACUUUCGUUUUUUGUUUACACUUCUUGUUUUAGUUUUAAUAACAAAAAAUUGUCACUUUACUUCACUUUGUUUCCUGAAACAGUACUGUUUUCAAAUUUUACAGCUUUCUUUACAAAAAUUUGAAAACAAGGUACAAAGUAAAAACAAAAUGGUCUCCUAGUAAUUAAAACUAAAAGUAGAUAAUGUUUGUAAUUAAAACUGAAAGUAGAUAAUGUUUGUAAUUAAAACUGAAAGUAGAGAAUAUUUUUUUAAAUAAAAAAGGAACGCUCUUCAACUUCAUCUAAGUUUCUUGUUGUCAUCAACACAUACAAUAGAUGACAAAUGAUAGUCAAAUCCAAACCAUACAUAAUUGGAACAUUCAGUAAUAACAGGUUAAUGUAGGGCAACAAACAACAUAAGCAAACAUAAUUACCACCAAUAAAAAUAACAAACAAAUACAAACCUGUAAAGAGUCCGGCACUCUCCGGGCAUUUGCCGUUAUAAAGCCAAUAAUAUAGUCCAAUCCCAUAUUUGCAAAUUCCUGCAACCACACAGUUAAAUCAGUAUUAUUGUUGGGCAUUCAUAAAUUGCCCAUUUUCUUCCCAGGCAUUAAAUAUUAUGUAAAGAUCUUCCAAACAAAGGAAACGGAUUGAUUGCAAAAUUACAAACUACGUUGCAAAUUUAAAGGGAACACGAAAAAGAUUACCUGAUUCUCAAGUACUGAAUUCAACCUUCCAUCCUGAGAAGGUAUAUACAACGUAAGAAUUAUUCAAAUAAAAGUGGUAACAAAUUAUAUGUUCAUAUUUACUAUGCAACCUACUUAUUAGGAGUAUAGACUUAGUAUACUCUGAGCAACAUCUAAUCACAUAUAGUCAGAUACAGUUAUUGUUUCUAGAAGUUUCAUGUACUCUAUAAAUAAAUGCAUCUGCACUACUGUUGUUAACCAGAGAUCAUAAUUCAGAUUUACGGAAAAACUUUGCUCACUCUUCUCUCAGUUUUUCUUAAUCUUAAAGUCUCCCUUUGCUGUUUACAUUCUAUAACACUCAACAAAUUUUUUAAUUCAAAUGACAGUUUUGUUUUUUGGUGUAAACCGGAUAUCCUCCACGCACAACUGCAGAGUUUAAUUCAAAUGAUAAUUCAAAAUCAUGCCUAACUCCAAAAUACCCUUCUUCAUAACUCUAAACUAGAAAAUAUCCACGUUAACAAUUAAUAAGCCAAAACAUGAAUUCAAACAUACCAACAUUUUCACUGUGUGUUGCACGACGCUCAAGUCAUCAUGUAUAGUAGUAACAGUAUCUUGAACUUUAUUAACCUGUACAAGAGUAUUACAAUGUUAUCCAUUUCCGGCCCAUCAUAUUUAUAAAUUGUAAUAUGACAUUGCAAAGCUGCACUUUCGAUUCCAUUAUCCAGGACUGGAAGUGGAACAUAGCUCUUUGAAAGAGCUCAAUAGCAUAUACCUAACUAACUCGUAAAAUUAUAGGCAUCAACUGAAAGUUAUGAGCUUCAAUAUUUCUAAACUGUACCAUCCUCAAUGACUAAUGCAAUAAAAUUUUCAGCAAUUUAAUUAGAGUAACCAAGUCAAAGUCUUCCAAGUGACAGUUUAAAAUUUUAGGAUAUAGAAUUAAGAAGUGAAUGCUUUGUGAUUGUAAGGAUUCCAAAGAUAUACAAAACAAAACAAAAAAUCGGGUCUUAAGUUAUAUGUUAGAGAUAAAUGGUGAUAAAUUGUAAAGAUAGAGAAAGUAUCUGAAACCAAAACCUUAAGCAAACAGAGAGAGAAUGAUGGAACAUGCCUUAUAAUAAGAGAACCCAACAUUCCAUUGAAAUAGUAAUAAAAGAUGCAACAACUAUCAAGUGUUUACUAACAGCUAUGGUAUUAAGCCAUUCUGUAAUAGGGUUCAACAGUCAUAGUCCAAAGAGAGUUUAUCUUACUUAAUGUACAUAAUAACUUCACCAAUAUAGAUAUCCAUCAAGACUAGAAUUUUCAAAAUCAAUAACUUCUAAAGGAAACCUAAUCCAUUUAUCAGCAAAGAAAUAGCAAGUGCUAGUCCCUAUAGGUAAGUCUACAUAGAUAAAAAAAUGUAUGUAUGAUGCAUGUACAAAAACAUAAGUCCAUUCUUGUCAUGUGUGUAUCUAAAAAUCUAUUUGGUCCACAUGUAUCUUUAUAUAGGUGCAAGUGCAAGCAUCAAUAUAUAGGUGCAAGUGCAAGCAUCAAAUCAGUUUGCAUCAAAAGACAUACAUCAUCCUUAAUUGACUGUGCCAUCUUAUAUUGUUUGCGCAUUUUGUCAUCCAAAAUUUGAAUUCUCUGGGUCAAGUGCUUCUUAGCAUCCUGCCAUGAAAAACAUGAACAUUGAGAAGCAAUUAAAAUUUAAAAGGCAUCAAAUAUGAUUACUACUACAUUUAAGCAUCAAUUCCCAUGUUAAAUCUUUGAAUUGAGUGCAUAAUGAUGGGAAAAAUAUCUCCACAAAAACUGUGAGUCAUUGUGGCAAAUGUGGGUAAAACUGCCAAAUCCCCCAUAUUAAGGACAACAAAUGGCUUGCAGUCUCUUAUAAUGUGGGUUUACCUUACUCUACCGGCGGAGGAUUGUGGGUUUUAAGAAUUAACUUAAGGUUGAUUUUCUGUUAAAAACUGUUGCAGCUUGGUAGAAGGCUUAUUAUAGUCUGCAGGCAAAACAUUUUGUGACAGUAAAGACCAUUUACUCUUAAUUAUCCAAAGUCCCUAGGGUUUGUAAGAUUUCUAUUAAGCUUUUCUCUUUUCAGUGUUAAAAGAGAUAGGCCCCUAUAUGUCUUGGAAUAAAUGGUUGAGGUCAUGGUUUAGAGAUUACUGCGUACUGGUCAUUGAUUGCCAAAGGUUUUCAUGAAGUUGGCAGUCCUAUAAACUUCUGAACAGUAAAUUUUUUAACACACACCACUCUGACAUUCACAAUCGCUUUAUAGGCCUUGAUGGUUUUUUAAAAUCAUUCUGUAAUUGGACCAGUAUAGAAGCGCUAUAUUUGACUCUUAAAACAGUAUAGUAUGCUUCGACCCUAUUCAAGUCUUCCCAUAAUACAAACUAUAAUAGUAACUUUAUCAAUAGAUGAAAAAAAAACUCUAGGUCAAACAUCUGUCUUGUGAAAAAAGGAAUCAAUGAUACAUUAUAUUUCACCUACUCAGUUGAAAGAAUAACAAAUGUUAUGUCAAGAGGAUUUCAUACUCUUCAAAUGGAAGAGCUGAUGGUGCGCAAUCAUGUUCAAAACACUUUUGCACACAUGUAUGUGUGCCUAACUAAAAAAACUUAAAGAUACUGAAAGAAUAUCCAAUGCAGUAAAUGGGGACACUUACAGCAAUGACAUCCGAGGCAUGCUGCAGCUUUUUUGUCAAAUCUGCAACAGCAUUUUCCAUGUUGCGUUUAGUCACGUACAUAAGAUCUGAGAAUGAAACGCCCUGAUAUUGAGAAGAACGCAGAAAUCAGUAUCAUGAAUAACAAUCAUUUCAUAAAUAUUAAAUAGAUACAUUACUCAUAAAAAUUAACGGUAAUCAAAUUAUUAACAGUUUGCGACCCAUUAUGAAACAGGAAAUACUUGUAACGGAUAAAUAAACUGUCAACCACAAAGUAAUAAAACUAUUACAGAAGCAGCAAGAACCGAAGCAGUUCCAUACCUUCAACCACAUGUAACCAUAACCCACAGCACCCAAGGUGGCUGCUGGAACCACAAGAGAUGACAAAUUACCUACAGUAAAAAGGAAGAAAAAAAAAUGAGAGGAGAAACAUGGCGUCUUAAGCAGCAACCACACUAGAUGACAAAAUAAAACAUACUACUUUGUCCUGAGCCUCCAUUCAUUACUAUGGUUUGUCUGUUUGAUGAUAAAUGCUUCACUUCAUUAGCCAAACGCCGAAUCUAAGGCAAAGUCAAACAAUAGUUUAGCGAUAAAAAGUUUUAAAGUCUGAUUCAAGUGCAUUUUGGAAACAAAGUAAAAAUAUUGAGAUUUAAUCAACCAGAUUGUUACCUGAGCAGCAAUAGCAUCCGAUGCAUGUUCUCCUUCACCUUCAGCCUGAUCCCCGGACUUUUCCAAUCCUUUCACCAGUGCCUAUGACCAAAAAAAUUAUAUAAUGUAUACAUAAAAUAUACUAUUAAAGCCAACACAAAUCCUAAUAUCGAAAGACUAAAAAAUGCAACAAUCCAACUUUUUGGACCUGUUUGGAUUGGCUUAUUUGAGCUUAUCUACUAGCAUAAGUUUUGUGAGAGUGUUUGGAAGAACUUAUGAAAACAGCUUAUGACAAAUUUCAUAAGCUUUUUUCAGCUUAUUUUCCUAAGUUCUCCAAUAUAGCGUAUAAAAACAACUUAUAGCAUAUACAAAAACAAUUUAACGUUAUUUUAUCUUUUAUGCAAACUAAUACAUAAGUGCUUAUCAUGAUAAACACUUGUGUUAUAAGCUUCAAAUAAGUUGUUUGUCCAAACAGGCCUAAAUUUAUCUAUUUGGGAGAACUCGUGAAAAGAGCUCAUGACUUAUGACAUGUUUAUAAGCUGUGAUCAGCUUAUUACCAUAAGCUCUUCAUCCAGGAUAGCUUACGAAAGCAUCUCAUAGCUUAUACGAAAAAAUUUUGACUCUAUUUAUCUUCUGUCUAUGAAAAUGGCUUAUAAUUAGCGCUUAUAUAUGAUAAGCGCUUAUGCUGUAAGCUUUUAUCCAAGUAGGGCCUAAAAUCAGUUAUAGAAACUAGAAAGCAAUGUAAUAAUUUACGAAUAGUCUAAAAACACCAAGUGAUCACACCACCAAAACAAGUUAUUUUUCUCUAGUUUGAGAAAAUGACACUCCAAAUUUGUGGGAGCCAAAGGCAUUUAUGGUCACACGUAUCAAUAAUUAGAUGAAAAUUAGGGUGUGUUUGGAUUGAGGGUUUAGGAGGGGAAGGGAGGGGAGGGUUUGUUUUUCUUUUUUAAGUUACGGACUAUAUAACAUGUUUCUCUAAAAUAAAUUAAGUGUGAUUGAAAUAUUAUAUGAUCAUUUAUCAUGUUAACAUGUUAACUCUUUAAAAAACAUUUCAUAGUGUCAGUAAUUUAAAAAUGAAAUCUAAACCCUCCCCUCCAUUCCUCUCCUAAACCCUCCAUCCAAACACACCCUUAAAAACAAAUAUUCCCGAGUUCAAUUCACCUGAACUCUGGAUCAUCAGGACCCAUUCUCCCCCCAAAAAAUCUGAAACCCUAAUGAUCACCACCACAUGACACCAAUUAUUAUAACUCGAGUUGAGUAACAGAGUAGAAAAUCAAUUACUGAAAUUUAAUAGAUAUAAAAAACAAGGAAACCGUAAAAUUUGACAUGUGAAUUUAAAUAAUGAAGCAAAGAAAAGUAGAGUGAAAUUUGUUGUGUAUAGAAAGAAACCUGGAGAUCACCGAUCAAAUCGGAUAAUUUGCCGUUUUUGAGGAGGACGGUGCCGGUGUAACCUGAAAAGGAACGGAAAAGUGAAAUCAAUCAUGAGAUAGCAGCGAUUGUGUGUGUGUGUGUGAGGGAGAGAGAGAGGGGGAAGGAAGUACCAGUUACGGCGAUGAAUAGGACCUUGGAGAUCCCGAUUCCACUAUGAUAAGCCAUAGCCAUGGCGUUAGAGAGAGAGAGAGAGAUUUCAGCGCCCUGUGUGAAGGCUUUGCGUAGCUAUAUGCUUGCAGAGAAGGAAGGAAGGAAGAAAGCGAAUACUGCCACGAUGAUGUCGUUUUGGCUAAACUUCUUUCUUACUGCACACACUACAACCGAUAAUCUCAGCCGUUGGAUUAGGAAUAUAAGAAGCAAAAACGAAUUAUUAAAGGUAUGUUUGGAUAGAGAAUUUUGGAGGGGAAACCAUGGAAUGACUUAUUUUUAAACGAACCGUUUGACCCGGUUUUUUUUUUUUUUUUUAGUUUUUCUACAUUUUUAAGGAGAAGUUAGGCCAAACACAAUAUCAAUAAAGUACCUUCGAAAAAAAUGUAUUUUUCUUAAAAUGCAUAAAAUUGAAUGGAAUGAGCUUUAACCAAAAGUUGUUAAAUGUUACUUCAAAUAACUAUUUCUCUGUAAUUUUUUACGGUUAAAAAUUCAUAUUUAAUUUAUAUUUUGUUAAAAAAUUAUAAAUUUUUUGAGAGAGAUUUUACAAUAUUCUACGCAUUUCAGCACAAUUUUAUUAAAAAAAAAAUACAAAAUUUUACUUAUAAAUAAGGACCAAAAGUAGUGAUUGAAAUUUUUAUAGGGACUAAAAGUUGAAGAAAAAUUUUAGAGGGACUAAAAUGAAAAGUUGGUAUAUUUAUAGGGACCAAAAAAAUAUUUAAUCAUUUUUUUUAUUAACCCUCCGCUUCUUAAGGAUAUGGUUUAUCAGUGUCCAGAGUUUAAUCGGUCGUAAGUAAAGUCUUCUAAAAAGUUAUUCUAUUUAGAAAUCGAACUCAUAGAUUCCUUUGAACAAUUCAUCAUUUGUUGAGUUCAUUAACUAUUUGAUUCAAAUCUCUUCUCCAUCUCUCAAAUUUAAUUAUCCCUUGUUUCAAUUUUAAUAGGUUAUUUUGACUUCUUAAAAAAAAACUACUUAAGCUCAGUUAAUUUGUUGCACUGUUUUAUUAAAGAAAAAUGACAUGAGUAUAGUAAGAAUAUUUUGACUUUAAAAUCGAUCAAUUUAUUUCUUUAAUUUAUAGUUACCACAACAUGGUCUCUCAAAAGAUAAGGUCACUUUAGUUAUGAAAAUGCAUAGUCAUAUUCAUUUGUUAAACUUCAAUUUGCCUUAACUUUUGAAUGAAAUUAGUUUGUUUUAAUGUUAAGUUACUAAAAUAAUCGGUUUUAAAUUAAGAGAUUAAACUAAAGGGAUCUUUAAGCAUUUUAUUUUUUAAAAUUAAAGACUACAUAAAAUAUUUCUUAAAAAAAAAAGAAUUAAGUGUGUAGGAAGUAUUAUAUGCUCAAAUAUCAUAUUGUUAUUUCAAUUUUUUUUUAAAAGGGUCAUAUCAUGGAUUAAAAAAAGAAGUAAAGCACAGAUGUUGUAUUAAAAAUAAUAAUUAAACUUCUAAGCUAUUUAGUGCAUAAUUUACUAGAUUAUGUGAGAAAAAAAACUUAUAUGUACCUUUUUAACCUGUGUUCUAAAAGCAUUAGUUAUAAUUUCUCUUUUUAUAUUUGUCUUUUUAUCCAAUAAUUGAGGGGCACUUAUUAGUAUUUUUUAGGUCAAAUAAUCAUUUAGUCUUUAGAUGUGCAUCCCGAUGUGAGACUAGUUCAUGACUCAGGAGAAAACUCAGAAAAACUUCUGACUCCAAAAUCCUCUCGGUCAUUGGGGUCCUUGACAUUAAUUAUGGUUGUUAAGUUAAUAAAAAAGUUGAAUUGACAUAUCUUUAGGACAAGUAAUAGGUGAGGUGGCAUCAAGGACCAAUAUGACUCACUUGAAAGGUAUAACUAGUAGAUAACAAAUAUUUUGAUAUUUUAAUUUUGAUUUUAUCAUAUUAUUUGUUUGUUAGUAUUUUAUCGUUUUAAGUUGUUAUCUUGAAUAUUGUAAGACCGUUUACAAAUUCAUCUUUUCGUGUUUAUCGACAUUGAAUUUGUGUUUCUAUUUGUUGUACUAUACCAAUUUAACAAUUAUUAGAUAAAUGAGAGAUAUAGAAUUUGAACCUCAACAUUAUUUGUAUAUGUUAUAGGAUGUCUACUCGGAAACUAAAAAUAUUGAUUUUUUUUUUGUUUAACCCUUCGAUUCUAAGGGUAAAGAGACUCUAGUAAUCUGGAGUUCGGUCGUGUGGUAAGUAUAGUUUGACCAAGAUUUGUUCCAUCCCAAAAUCAAACCCAAUUCCUCCAAAUAAUUCGACAUUGAUGAAGUUCAUUUACCACUUGAGCUCAAUUGUUUGGUUAAAAAUAUUGAUUUUUAGUAAAAAGAAAACUAGUUCAUAUUCAUAUUAAAUUUUGUUGUGAUAAAAAAGCUUGAAUCACUGUGUUUCAUAUCUCAAUCAAUCAUUCCUACAAUAUGUUACAUAAUUUCACAGAUAGCACUUGUAUAUACCAAAGUAAGAGAACAUAAACAUAAACAACCAACAAGAAAGGAUCGAGAGUAGAGAAGAAGAUGAAGAUGUUGCAAUUGCAACCACCACAGUCCUAUACAACUACAAACCCAUUUUCAGUCCCAACUCACUCUUUCAUCAUCAACACUCCCAAAAAAUCCAUUUUUUUACGUCGCGUGGGUCCCACUUUCUCCCUCACAUGUCACCACCCUGAGCUUUUCCAUCCCAAACCAUUCCCUCCGCCUCAACGCCCUCAAUCUUCUUCUUCUUCUUUCUCCUCUUCAGGUAAAAAUAAAAAUAUAUAUAUUUUUUUUUGAAUCAUUUUAACUUAUGAUAUAAAAUAAUGGGUCAGUUACUAUGAAGCACGGACACUUCCCGAUUAGGCGUGUCCCGGCGUGUCCGUGUCGUGUCCGUGUCCGUGUCUGUAUCCGUGCUUCGUAGGUCAGUUAACAAUUUUUAUAAUUAUUAUUUUUUCAUCAUGAUGGUAUUAUUUUUUUUCUUUCUAAAGUUGUAUUUGUUGUGUGUGUGUGUGUUGUUCAGUUGGAGAAUUACCAGCAAGGGUUCAUGUUAGUCGUUCAGUUUACAAAGGGAAAGCUGUGCUCGUUGUGUCUCCUGUACUUCCAAAAUUCACUUCAUCGGAUGUAUGUUUUUUUUUUUUUGUUUCAUCAUGUUCAUUUUAUGGAUGUUAGUUAUCAUAGGUUUUUUUGUCUUGUUCUAAUCUAAAUUUCUCAUGUUUUAUGGAAUUAUGAAUAUUGGUGUGUUUAUUUAGUUAUGGAACAUUUUGUGUGUUUUUGUAGUCAGGGACAUUCAAGAUAUCUAAAGAAGGUUUGAUGUUGCUACAGUUUGUUCCUUCUGCCGGUUUUCGCCAAUAUGAUUGGAACAGAAAGCAGGUGAGUUAUUGCUCUUUUAUAAUUUGGUGUUGGCAGCAUAUAAGAUAUCUUUACUCUCUAGAAUUUAGAUUCUAUCGAUGUUGUCAAGCACUCCAUAUUAUAAGCAAACGUUCAUUUUUCUGGUUUAUAAUAUAGUCCAGAUACAUCAAUUAUUCAAUGAAUAUCUGCUUAUAGUAAUAGUAACGAGGAAGUAGCGUCAUAGCGGAAUUUGAACAAACGACUAUUGUUCCGCGAUACACUAUCUAGUACAGUGCUGUCAAGUAACGGCUACUAUACUAAGACUAUAGCGCUGUAGAAUUUGAACAAACUGCUAUUGUUCCACAAUACGCGAUUUAACACAUUGCUGUCAAAUAAUGGCUAGUAUAGCAGCACUAAAGCGACGUAGAGUUUGAACAAAAUGCUAUUGUUCUGCAACACGCGAUUUAGUACAAUGCUGUCAGGUAGCAGCUAUAGCAGUGGUAGUGCUGUAACGUUGUAGUGUACUGGAAUUUGAACAAAGCUAUUUUUUUUGCGAUCAACAAUUGACAACAUUGGAUUUUGUACUUAUUUAUUAGUCUCUUGGUCUCAAGAUAAAAUAAAAAAUAUAAUAUAUAUUUUUUAUUAUGGUAUCAAGUCCACUGAAGAUAUAACAUGUAGAAAAAUAAACAUACAAGCUGUUCGAUUGUUUUAAAAUAUUAUAUAAUUAUCUAAUAUUUAAUAAAACUAUGACCAAAUCUUAGUUGCUGCUGGUAUAACUCUCAGCACCUUAAAUUUUCCCCUGUGACGCAAACUUCUUUUCAACUUUAGAAGUUUUGUUUAGUCAGUAUCUAAAACUUUAAACUUAAAAUUCUCUUCUCUUUGCUCUUUGAAUUUCAAAAUGUAUUAACGUAUCUAAAACUUUAAACUUAAAAUUCUCUUCUCUUUGCUCUUUGAAUUUCAAAAUGUAUUAACGUAUCUAAAACUUUAAACUUAAAAUUCUCUUCUCUUGCUCUUUGAAUUGGAAAAUAUAUCAACAUGUUACUUAAUGAGUAUUUAUUUAGACUUAAGAAGCUACACUAGUAUUCCAGCUGUGUAUUUUUCAUCCUACAAAAACUUUAGUUAUGAUUAAUUGGAAAAUGUGCUUGAUUAGUAAGAAAUUCGAAGAGUAAUAAAAAUUUGAAUGUUUUGAGGUAAAAUCCAUGUAGUGAGGAUCCUACUUAGUUUUGAAUGGCUAUGAGUGUCAAACUCUCAAGUUAACUCACAGAAGCGUACGGGUUUGAGGACAAUUGAGAGUCUAAAAUUUAAUGGUUAGUUUUCCGGAGAUAUGUUUAAAAUGACAACAGUUCAAUGUUUUCUUUAGAAUUCCGAAAAGCAAUAUCUGAAUAAUAAGGUUCACAGUGCACAAAAUACCAUCACAGUUGUAGCACUCGACUCUGCAGAUGCAUAUAACAUCACAUUAAGAACCCAUCUGCAAAGGAGGUGAACAACAGUAUAUUGAGUUUCAACCCCACAGUACUUCCUAGUUCCUAUGAGGUCAUGGAGUAGAAAACACGAACAAACCCACGGUUGCAAGUUUGUAAUGAAUCCAAUGAGGCAAUAAGGUGAAUGAACCUAACUCUGACAAGUUGAAACCUAGCUCUUCCAAGUGCUCCAACGAGGGGAACUCAGUCCCACCAUCCUUCGUUCUUUUGUGCAUUCUUGUCUAAUUUGAAUUGUGACACUAUGUGUAUUCUCUGACAAGAUAAUAUCAAUUUGCCUAUCAAUUUCGAAUUGUGACACUAUGAACCCAUUUUGCUUGCAGAAUAUUUAAAAUUAGUUAUUGUUGUUGCUUUAUUCCUAUUAAAUUAUGUUUUAAACACUAUUUUUGUAUCAAAUUAACUAUUAUGAGUCUUUGAGUCAGUCAUACAGAGAUUAUAUGCAUGGGUUUACGUAGAGUCUUGAGUUUGAUAACUUUGGACCUAACUCAAGGGAGUUGAGGACAGGGUUAAUUUGUAAAACUGUAAUAUUAUUUAUGCAGGUCUAUGUGUUCCGUUUUUGCUUAUGUAUGGUAAAAUUAAGGAACUUCUAUAUUGUUUUUUGAAUGAGCUUUGUAUAGUACAUUUUGUAAAUGAUUUCUUUUAUACUUUUAAUUUACUGCUAACAAGUAGCAACUGAUAUGACUGUCCAUCAAUUUGCUUUUAUGUAAUUUAGUUGUCUUUGCUUGAACACAGGUGUUUUCACUAUCUGUGGAUGAAAUGGGAAAUCUAAUUAAUCUUGGUGCAAGGGAGUCUUGUGAAAUUUUUCACGAUCCUUUUAUGGGAAGAAGGUAGUUUUUGUGCUCUACCCUUUCUAAUUAUUUUACUGAAUGAUAGAGCAUAACAGAUUGAAAGUUUCUGAUCUUUGCGUGUUUUUUCUUGUUAUAAAAAUAGACUUUCCUUCUCAAAUAGGAAGGGAUUUGGUGGUGUCUUCAAAUAUGCAAUUGUCACGGGCCUGCUUUUAUUGUGUUAUUUGAGUUUAUCUACUAGCACUUGUGAAACUGUUUGAGAGAGGUCAUGGAAAUAACUUAUGAUAUGUCCAUAAGACCAUAAGCUGUUUUCAGCUUAUUUACUUAAGCUCUUCAGGAUAGUUAAUGAAAAUAGCUUAUAGCUUCUAUGAAAACAAUUUAACUAUUUUAUCUUUUCUUGUAGAAAUAGCUUAUACAUAAGCACUUAUACAUGAUAAGCUUUUAUGCUAUAAACACUUAAUUAGGCUGUUUAUCCAAACAGGGCCCAUAUAUGCAGAUUCAUACGCAUUAUAAUUGUUAGUGAAAUGCUAUAAUCUUUCCUGUUUUAAAAAAAAAAUAAUGCUUACUAACCGAAUAGUUAAAAGUAUUCAAUGUCUUUGCCAAGAUUUAAUGUUAGCAUGACAGUUUAUAAUUUUAAAGAAUUUGGAAAAGGCUAACAUAUGUUAAGGAACUUAAUAUGUAAAUUUUGUAUUUGAAAUUGCCAAUUUAUUUCUCAAAGAGUUGAAACUUAAUUUUUUUCAAUAAAUAUUUAUUGUGGAAUCCUUAACAUGUAAGGGCACAUGUUAGCAUGACCCUUUAUAAUUUUACAAAAUUUGAGAAAUUGUCUUGUUAUGCAGUGAUGAAGGUAAAGUGAGAAAAGUUUUAAAGGUGGAGCCACUUCACGACGGUUCCGGUCACAUGUUUAAACUAAGUAAUGCUCUUCAUAAACUGCUGUUAAUAUAUAUACUUCCCUUCCAUCGGGAAAUUGUUAAUAUAUACUCUUGGAUCGAUUCUUUCCACCCUGCACUAAUAUAACUUCAAUUCUGACAUUGUUUUGUCAAUUUUCGAAGGUGUCCAAAACCAGCUCAAGAACAUCGAUGAGAACAUAUUUAUCCCUGUCACAAAAGCGGAAUUUGCAGUUUUCAAUUCACUUUUCAGUGUAUGAUCUCUCUCUCUCUCUCUCUCUCUCUCUCUCCCUCUCUACCCUUGGUCACCCCCUACCUUUGUUUUGAUUCAAGUGUGUCGUAAUUUUAUCCCACUAAAAUUCUAGUGUAGAUAUCACCUUACUUAUUUAGAGACCAGCUUAUUUUAGAAAAGCUUUUUUUAAGCAGAAAUGACUUUUUGUUAUUAUAUACCAUAGAAGAUGCAAUCAAAUCUAUUUCAUGUAGUUAAUUUUCUUGCAAAAUAGUAGCUUCUCUAAACAUUCUAUCAAGAAAAUACUUGUCUAGCUAAAUUAGGAAUAUGCCUUUUGCAUAAAAAGUGUGGGGAAAUCUUCAAGGUUUAUAGAAUUUCUGCUUUUGUCUAAUACAAUUCAUAAUUAGGAACUCCUGAUUAUGUUUAAUCAACGUUGUAAAAUAUGUGGCCAUACAUAUAGUUUUUUUACUCAAAAAUUAAAUUAAAAUAAUAAAAUUGGCUUCGCCCGGACUCGAACCGGAGACCUUCAGUGUGUUAGACUGACGUGAUAACCAACUACACCACGAAACCUGUUGUUCCUAAAUGUAGUUUUUAGGAGUAUAUUUUGUAACUAUCAGUAAUCAUUGUAUGCUCUGGUGAAUCUAUAUUUAUUCAUCAAAGCCAAUCUUCCGCGAAUGGACCCUCGACAAUAUGUUUUUUGCAUGAGUAAUUGCAUAUUGCUCUUUAUGCACUCAACUUGAUUAAUAUUGUAAAUUUUGUUGAUUUUCUAUGCAGUUUAUCAUGCCAUAUCUCUUAGGUUGGAAUGCCUUUGCCGACUCCAUAAAGCCAGAAGUAAAUAUUGCAAACCCAAGAAGAAGAGAAGAAGACUUUGAAUGGAACAGAUAGGGUGAUCUGCAGUAUUAAUGACCAUAGAAAGUUACAAUACACCAUCUUGUAUGAUCUUAUUAACUUUAGAAUGUGUUAAAUUAAAUCACCUCAUUUUGAGAAGUAUCAUUAUUGGUGCACAUUUUUUAAUUCAAUUGUUUAUAUAAUCACUUUUAUAAAAUGAAAUAAAAGUGUCUUUAGUUUUAACAAUUUUUACUUAAAUUGAAAACCGGAGUGAAUGUAACUGUUUAAUUUUAUUUUAACCUACAAACAAGAUGGAUGAUACUUAUUAAGUGGCAAAUUGCUGCAAACACAAAUGAUGACAUAUAAGAUUUAAACGAGUCUGAAUAUUUAAUAUAUUCUGUGCUAAUCAUUUUGUUCCCUUUCAAUUUUAACUGAACUUACACUCUUAACUUCUUAAUUGAUAAAUAAACGGUUACUGUAUUAUUGUACAUAAGCAUAAAUGAUUUGGUUCAAUAUUUACAAAGAUCAUAGAGAUUGAAGCUCAGAAUGAGUGGUUACCAUUCAUGCACACAAUGCUUUAUUGUUCAGACUAAUUAUAGUCUUAAUGAAAUUAAAUUAUUUGAACACUUAAAACAUUUCGAAGAAAUUGUUCCAUUCAGAAGCAGAAAUAACCAAUUCUGCAUGUUGUGAGUUUACAUUGUCUUAUGGUAACAUCCUUCUAAAAAUAAUCACUAAAGAAAAGGAGGAAACAUUAAUUAAUCAGCUUUUACAUCAAACAUGUCCAACAAAAUAAUAAGUGGCUAUGCUUGCAUGAUAUGAACAUAAAGUUCUAUAGAAGCAAGCAAUUGUACCACCAUUAUGAGAUGUUUGGCUUGAGAUAUCUAAAUGCUACAUUUCAUAAGUUACUAUGACCAUCUCAUUUUGAAGUAGUAGUUGAUUUGACUUUCAUUUUAAGGGCUGGAAUCAAAGCUAGGCUUCUCAAUAAUAGUAGAAGGUCAUUUCAAACUAUUAAUAGUUUAAUGUAGACCUCCAGGAAACAAAAAAAAAAAUGCAGGCCAUACAAAACAUGUGCGAAUAAGAUGAAAUGAAAAAGAAAAAAAUGCAGGCCAUUUCAAAUUAUACUGAUCUAGAAUCAAGAAAUCUAAAUAUCUAAUAAAUGGGAAUAACAUAACAAUUUCUCAAACUAGAGAUUCAAUCAGACAUUAAUUAACAAUGAUCCAUGAAGUCACCAAUGAUUAGAACAAGUACGAAAUAAAUAACAUAUUUGGAAAUUAAGUUGCAAUCGAGUCUAAAGUUCAAGUCAAAUAGAAACACAUCUACAUCUUUAAAUUAGAAACAAGGUGAUAUCAAACUUUCAGAGACUACCGGGCCAAUCUCACUAUUGAUGGGUCGAAUCUUUGAAAUCUAAAGAGUGCCCCGUUUGAAAUUAUAAACAACCAAAUUCCUUUUUGCCCUACAUCCCAACAAUAAUUGAUCAUCCUUAAAAAUACAUAUCACCUUGUUAUAGCAUAAAACAGUGGCGGAGCCAUAAAUUUUGUAGAGCCUUGGCAAAAUAUUUUGCCAAAUAUUUUUAGAAUACAUAUUAAAUAGUUUUAAGAUAUUAUUAUUAAUACAAUAGAAAAAAAAAAUUAAAAAAAAGUACCAUGGAUCAAACACACGCCCUUUGAGAGUUAGGGAGCUCGCCAAUCCACUACAACAUCAAUGUAACAUAUGAUAAAUUAUGGAUAAUAUGAUAAUUAUAGGUAACUUGAGGGCUGCAGUGGCUCCUAUGAAUCUUCUAGGAGAUCCGUCAUAGAGCCCGGGUGUGCCCAGACUAGCUGAGUGGUAAAACCGCCCCUGCAUUAUCUGAUGUUUGACUGAUGAAGGAGUGUGGAAAUGAAGCGUGUUGGACUAAAUCAUUUAAUUUUCAAUUUGCUAAAAAAAAUUGGCUUAAACCAUUUUUUUUUUUUUAAAUAGGUCUAUAAACUAAAAAAUGUGUGCCUAAACCAAUAUGAUCUUUGUAAUAAGAUGCGUUUGUUUUGUUACAGUCUUUGGUCGGAACUAAUUAUGAAAAAAUUGUAUUAGUACAUGAUUUGAUUACAAAUUUUUUAGUUUAACAAUCUAUAUAAAACUUUCUAAAUAGUUUAGAGACAUGCGGUGUAAUGUGUGUGGGAGAGGGAAGAAUGAAUAAUAGAGAAAAAACAAACUAUUUGCAUUAGAAUUCAACAAGUGGUACAAAGAGCCUUUGACACGAGUCAUAUAACAACACAUGGCACUGCUAGAAUUUCUCAAAGGCCAUUGAGAAAACAAACAUAACCACUUCUCCAUAAUAGAUCACAGAUAUUUAACUUUAAUUUGUGUCUGAAUCCAUUGCCAUUCUCAACGUGAUAGGUACGUCAACCUCUCAAAUCACUUGUCUAUUCUUCAUGCAUUACAAUUUCAAAGCAUUGCACUAUAAGUUUACAAUUGCACCAUGUUUGUUCAUUGUUUUUUGAGGUUGACAUUGUUUAUGUUAUCUUAUUAUGAUUAUGAUAAACAAUUUCUUCACCAAAUUUUGUGUUUCAAUGAUACACAUUUGGCCAUACCAAUCAAACAUUAGAAUAUGAGGAAAUAAUAGGUAUGACCCAUGAUUAAUGUAAUAACUAAUAAACAAUAUAAGAGAUGAGCAAGUAAUAUUGAUCACUAGCUCAUUCAUUUAUAGGAUCAACGUGAUAAAAUAUUGUGACAUGAGUAUAAUCUUGCAACCUAAUAAAAUGUAAUUCAUAGCCUUGCCAUACAAGUCAUUUAGAUUUUCAGUCACUUUGGAUUCAUCUUCAUAUUUGAGGAAAAAAAAUCCUUUGGAAUGAUAAAGAUCUGAGAGAAUAAUGAACCUGAAUGAUACUAGCAUUUUUUAAAUCUGUACAUUUUAAAUGAAGUGUUUGGUUGUGUUGUGUGUAGUCACAGUUAUUUGGAUAUAUUCGCCUGAAAGUGAGUUGAUUUCAGGCUAAAAAUCACGUUUGAAAGCAAAAGCUUCAAAUUUCAAGUUAGAGUUCAUUGCAGAAGCAAAAACAAGUCAACUCUAGAACACUCAAUCAUGUCAAAAUUAAAUUUUUAAUUUUAGAAUCACUAUAGUCUCUCACAAAAAUGAAAUCAAAAGUACGCUAAAUAGACAAGGUAUAGAUAUUUCUUCUGCUACAGUUCUGCAAUUUCAUGAAAACCAUUGAAACCUGAAUUAAUAAAAAUGUCUUCAGUUCAAAACAUGGCACAUGAACAAGAGGUCAGAACAAGCACCCAACUUUCAAAAUGUGACCGCUACUUCGAAACCAUACAAUCAAGAAAGAAGCUACCACAAACAUUGCAGGAGACAUUGACAGAUUCAUUUGCAAAGAUUCCUGUUUCUUCUUUUCCCGGAGUUCCUGGAGGAAAAGGUAAGGGCUGUUAACCAUAUAUAAAUGCAUUUCAAAGAUAUCACCUUAUGCAUUUAAUUUGAAUCACUACUUUGGCAGUGGUUGAAAUUCUAGCAGACACACCUGUUGGUGAAGCUGUUAAGAUUCUAUCUGAAAGCAACAUAUUGGCAGCACCAGUUAAGGACCCCGAUGCAGGAAUUGGCUCAGAUUGGAGAGACAGGUACCUUGGCAUCAUAGAUUAUUCAGCUAUAAUUCUCUGGGUGAUGGAGAGUGCAGAACUUGCUGCAGUUGCUCUAUCAGCUGGUACAGCAACAGCUGCCGGAGUUGGCGCGGGAACUGUCGGUGCUUUGGGAGCAAUAGCAUUAGGAGCUACAGGUCCUGCUGCAAUUGCUGGGCUAACUGCUGCUGCAGUAGGUGCAGCAGUGGUAGGUGGUGUUGCUGCAGAUAAAACCAUGGCUAAAGAUGCUCCGCAAGCUGCAAAUAACCUCGGCGAGGACUUUUACAAAGUAAUACUGCAAGAAGAACCCUUCAAGUCAACAACGGUAGGCAAACAAUGGUUCUACUGUAAACUGUCAGUUUUUUUUUUUUUUUUUUUGAGCUUAUUGCACUUUUGUUUUAAGCUUUUUUCUUCCUUGGUUGAGAAGAAAUCUUUGAAAUAAAAUAUCUCUCCCUAAGAGAGGAGACCAUUUCUAGCUGAGACAGGCUGGUUAGCUAUUCAUUUGGCUUUUGUUGUGUUGAUAGUCAAUCAUAUGUAUUUCAUCGAAAAAUUAUAGUUGUGUUCCUGCACAAUAGAAUUGAGAAAUGUUUUUUGUUAUGUAUAGUUCUAUAAAUUGUGGUCCGCAACUGCAAUUGUGGCCGCAAUAUAACAGUUUUAGAGGUCUCUAAAUGACAUCACAACCGCAAUUGCAGCCGCAUUUUACCGCAUUACAAAAGUUCACUGGGUAACUGUGACAACAAUUUAAAACCAUUGUGUGCAUAAAUUGAGCUAGUUAUAGUGUAGCAAAAAUUUUGCUUAACCUUCACAUAAAAAAUAAAAGAGAGAUAUAUGUCGAGUUUUGGUUUCAGGUGCGAUCAAUACUUAAAUCAUACCGAUGGGCACCCUUUGUUCCUGUUGCAAAAAAUAGUGCUAUGUUGACUGUCUUGCUGUUGCUCUCAAAGUAUAGGCUGAGGAAUGUACCAGUGAUAGAACCCGGUAAAGCAGACAUAGUAAACUUCAUUACCCAGUCUGCAGUUAUCCAAGGUCUUGAAGGAUGCAGAGGAAGAGAUUGGUUUGAUUGCAUUGCAGCCAGGCCUAUGGCUGACCUUGGACUUCCUUUUAUGUCUGCUGAUAAGGUAACGAUUUGCGUUUAAAACUUUCAGCUUUCCCUCAACUUGGAGAUUUAAAAACACCUUAUUUCUUCUUGUCCAGGUUAUUAGCAUCCAGAGUAAUGAAUUGAUUCUUGAAGCUUUUAAGAUUAUGAGGGAUAAUCAAAUUGGUGGUCUUCCUGUAGUCGAGGGGCCAGCAAAGACAAUUGUUGGAAACUUGAGCAUAAGAGACAUCAGAUACUUGCUGCUAAAGCCUGAAAUUUUCUCCAAUUUUAGGUGAGCCUAAGUAGAAAUUGGGAAUCCGUGUGGUAUGCAUCUCUAACAAUAAUUACGGAAACACGCUAGUCUGUAAAAUCUAAAAUCAGAUACAAAAUUGGUUCUGCAUUUUCAAAAAUAAAACUCUCUUUGGUUCAUCUUUGGUUAAAAUACAAAAAUAAAGAUAAUCAAACAAAUGACUACAACAACAACCAAGUCUUAUAACACCAGGUGAGUCGGCUAUAUGGAUCAAACUACGACAUAAAAUUCUAUCAUGAAUUGUAUAAACCAUUGACCUCUAAGAUUGAGAUCAAGUUUAAAAAUAUCAAUCAAUCAUAAAUUGUAUAUCUAGUCAAGCCAUUGACCUCUAAGAUCGAGAAAAAUAUUAAUCAGCUACGGUCAUAAGAUUGACCACUUAAUAUACAUGUGUGUGAUUGUUUGUGGGAAUAUUUAAGGAAAACAAUCAAUAGCUACAAUUAUGGCCAAUGGUCAUCACACAAGCUUGUAACUUGUAAGAGAACUAAUUACUCAACUGAAAUGUCUUCUUCACCAUCCCUGUAUUUUGACUUUCAGGAAUCUCACUGUGAUGGAUUUCAUGAAGAAAAUUGUCUCAGCAUCCUAUGAAUCUGGAAAAGUUACUCGGCCUAUAACCUGCAAGCCUGAUGCAACUCUGCAGAGCGUGAUUCACACUCUUGCUUCACAGUCUAUUCACAGGAUUUAUACAGUAAAUGGACAAGAUCAAGUAGUUGGUGUCAUCACACUGAGAGAUGUAAUCUCUUGUUUCAUCACUGAACCUGAUUACCAUUUUGACGAUUACUACGGAUUUGCAGUUAAAGAGAUGCUGAAUCAGUGAUUUACGAGGAAGUUUAAAUAGGCAGAAGAAAGAACACUCUAAAUGUAACAAACUUUAUGUUAUCUUAAAGAAAAAAUAACAUUUCAUUUCAAGUUUUUCUAUGUAAGCAGUUUUCAUGUAACUUCUAUCAUGCUAAUACCAGAGUUUUUGUCCAAUCCUUUAUCUGUGAUCAAUCCUCUUAUCCUUUCUACUUCACUCCAUCUUCCCAAUGCAGCAUAUAUGUUAGACAGAACCACCAGUGGAGCUGGAUUUUUCGGUUCUAUGUCAAUAAGUUUCAUGGCCAUCUCUUCCCCAAGAUUGGAAUCUAGGUAGCACCUACAUGCACCAAGCAAAGAAUCAAAAACAGAUGCAGGAGGUUCUGCUAAUUCUUGCACCAAAUCUCGAGCUUCGCCCAACUGACCGGCUCGACCCAAGAGAUCAACCACACAUCCGAAAUGCUCAGGCUUUGGAUCCAAACCAUACUUUCUAAUCAUUCUGAAAAAACGUAACCCUCUCUCAAUUUGGCCACUGUGGCUACAGGCAGAUAGAACACUAACAAAUGUUGCACUGUUUGGUUGAACCAUUUCAUCCAACAUUUCAUAAAAGACUUCAAAAGCAGACUCGUAGUCUCCAUUUGUUCCAUACCCUCCUAUCAUUGCAUUCCAAAAUGCAGGAUCAUCUGGUUUUACAUCAAACUGAUCAAAAACAAAACGUGCGAAAGAAACACACCCGCAUUUCAUAUACGUAUCAACCAAAGCAGUUGCCAAAAAGUCAUCCUUAUCAACACAAAUUCUUAAAGCAUAGCCAUGUAUCGCUUUCGCACUUCGCAACACACAUGAAUCACCACACACAGACAAAAGACUAGUGAGAAUCUUCAAACAUGGAGCCACACCAGCACACUGCAUUUUACUGAAGUACUUAAAAGCUUCUACACACACUCCUUUUUGUGCAAACCCACUAAUCAAAGAGUUCCAAGUUGCUGAAUCAGGCAAAAUCCCUUCAUCCACCAUCCUCUCAAACAAUUCAACAGCCCUCUCACUCUCUGAAUUCAUCAUCAUCCCUGCAAUCAUUGAGUUCCAAGUGAUCAAGUUCCUCUUUUCACUUCUACUAAAAACAUCAAAAGCAGAACCCCAACAACCACACUUUGAAUACAUAUCCACAAGUGAAGUCACCACCAUAACAUGAUCACAAGCUUCUAGUUUCAUACUAAGCCCAUGAACCUGCUUCCCCAAACGAAUGUUUGAAAGCGUAGCACAUGCUGAAACAACAGACACCAAAGUCACCUUAUUUGGCUUUUCCUCCAAAUUCAUCGUCAUAUCCUUAAAAACAUCAAAAACAACACGAUGAAACCCGUUUUGCAACAACCCUGACAUAAAAGCAUUGUAAGUAACCACAUUUUUCACGCGUAAAUUUUCAAAAACCUUAUUCGAAGAAACCAAAACCCCACAUUUCGAAUAAGCAGUAACAAGCGAAGUUGAAACGUAAACAUCAUAUUCAACUCCUAACUUGCAUGCCAAGCAAUGAACCUGCUGCACAUGACUUUGAUUUUUUACAUCACGUGCAGAGAGUAAAGACACUAUCGUGACAGAAUUGGGUCUAAUAUUCCAAAACCCAAUUUGGCGGAAAAGCCACACAGCUUGCCCGCGAGGCCCGUUUCGCGAUAAUCCAGAAAGUACAGCGUUAAAGGCAGUGAUAGUUGGUUGAGGCAUUUCAUCGAACAGUUCAAGGGCGUAGUGGAAAGAGCGAGUGUUGGCAGCAUAAGAGGCAAUGAGGGCAGUGGAUGUGUGAGGGUGGGAGUGGAAACCAGUUUUGAAGAGAUGGGCAUGGAGGAUUUGAGUUUGAGAAGGGGAAGAGAGAUUGGAGCAUGCUUUGAGGAGAAUGGGGAAGGUGAAGGUGUUAGGGGUGGGGGAGGAAGAGUGGAGGUGUGAAUAUAGGUUAAGCGCUUCUUUGUAUAAACCAUUUGCUACUAGUUUUGUUACUGUUAUGUCACUCUUCAUGGAAGGUUACUCUACAAUUUUUGGUCAUCUCAUGUUAUGUCAUUUUCAGUUGUAUUCUCCUAACCUUGUUUGUGUUGCGCUUGUGUUUGUAGUGUUCACCAAAUGAAUCAUCAAGGUGAACAAUUUCACACCCUUAGCUGUGUAACUUUUUUUUCUAAGGCAAUCUCAUUUAUCUUGUUUUGUAUUCGCUCCGUCUCCGUUUAACUGACUCAUUUGUAAAAAAAUAUUGUCCUAAGAAUCUUGAUCCAUUUCAUUUUACAAUACAACAUUAAUUACUUUUUUUCAAUUAUAACUCUAAUUAAUACUCCCUCCGUCCCUCAAUAGAUGACUUAGUUGACUCUGACACACGUACCAAUGCAUAUUCAUCGAGACGAAUCCAACAACAUUUUACAUGAUAUUAUUUAUCGAAUUAGUAGAAAAAUAUGGUCAAAGCAUGUCAAGUCAAAAAUAUAUAUAUUGUCAACUAAGUCAUCUAUUAAGAGACGGAGGGAGUACUACAUUCACAAUUUCCAAUUCAAUAUAUUCUAUUUUACAUUUAUGAUAAAAAGAAUGCACCAAUACUCGAAGAAGACACUCAAAAAGUAUUUUUCUUUUCUCUCUUUCCUUAACAAACACACAUCGUUUCGCGCCAUGACGAUAAGUGGAGCCAAAAUUUCGGAGUUGGUCAUCGUAAAUGGAAUAGGUGCUUCCUUCUCUCUCUCUCUCUCUAAACGAGAUUUUGUUGUUCUCAUUAUCUGAUUCCGCAUCGUUCCUUUAGGUAUCGUCGUCAUCCUUUACUGUUACGGCACAUUCUCCAAUGUUAUCCGCCACCUACAGGUACAUAUGCAUGUUUAUUUUUGAAAACAAGUUUAAUUUGUGCAUGAUGCUGAUUAUUAAUUAGGGUUUCAAGUUUGGAGUCAUCGUCUCUAAUUAAACCUAUCUAAGUCGUUUAUGUGUUUUCUUCGUAAAAUUUAGGAUUUUACUUUUUUAAAUUUGGGUUAUUGACACCUGUUAUAUUAAUUUCUCUGUAGUUUCAGUUGAAUGGAUCGCCCAAGUCCGUGGAUCAGGCUGAGGGUGGUGAAGAAGAAGAAGAAGAAGAAGAUGCUGAUUCUACUGAUGCUAAGGUAACAAACAAACCGGUUUAAAAUUGUGUUGAAUGUGUAUUGGCCAGUGAUAAUUGUGCGUGACGAUAUUGAUGAUGAGGAUUAUUUGGAUUUAUUUAUUUUUCAUCUCAUCCUCUGUAUUUGUGACCACAAUUUUGGUGUGAACAUCUCAAACUAAACCUAAAUUAAUACAUUACUUUUUACAUCUGGAUGAGAGGUUUCUGAACUCUGACGGUGUUACAUUCUGCAUUAUAUAAUUUCGUUGCAGUUGCCGUUGAAAGGAUCGAUGAAUUCUGGGGAUCCACCUAAAGGUGAAGAUACCGAUUCCACUGAUGCUCAGGUAACAAAACCCCCUCCCGCAAAUGUAGGGGUGUCAAUGUCUUAUAACCGUAUCGUGCAGACCAGUUGCUUUGUCUCUAUCCUUACUAUUCCUUGCCAUUUAUUCUUUCUACCUUAUAACUAGUGCACAAGUUUAUUCAUUCUAUGCAACAAAUUCAGAUUUUUAGUUUUUUAAACUUGCAGCUAUCCUUUUUGUAUAACUGACGUCCAAUCCUUUAAAUCAAAUCACAGAGAAUUCAUUUUUUAUAUCUAAAUUUGAGAUGUUUAAACUUUGUAAUUUGUAAGGCUUGGCUUAUUUACUAUAAUAAUACUGCUCAUCGUUUUACUGCUUUAUUCAUUGAGGUUAACACAGUUUAUAAAUAUUGUAGUUCAGAAAAUCACCACAGAUGCCUAUUAUUUUACAAGUUACUUGGCUACACUAGUUAGCUUGUUCAAAUUGAACUGUGUUCCUGUCCUGGAUAAUGGAAUUGAAAGUGUAAUUUUUCUAUGACAUUACAAUUUAUAAACAUGAUGGGUAGGAAAGAAGAAAUACUAUGUGGUUAACAUGGUGAUACUCCUACACAGGUUUCUGGAGUUCAAAGUGUUAUUGCUAUGAGUAACUCACAACAAAAAGUGAAAAGAUUGGUAUGUUUUUUUGCAUGCAUUUGCUGGUUAAUUGUUAACAGGGUUAUCUUGCUAGUAUUUAACAAUCAAGAUGGAUAUUUUGGAGUUUGACAUUAUUUUUAAUUUUCAUUUGAACUAUAAUGUCUAUCUAGUUCUUAGAAAAUAAAUAAAUAUGAAGUAUUAUAGAAUGUUAACAGGAAAUAAAGAUUGACCAAAAAAGACAAUGAGAGAGAAAACAGGGGUUUUCUGUAAACUUAUGAAUUAUGAUCUCUAUUUAAAGACAAUAGUUUAAUUACGAUAACUGAAUCUGUGACAACUAACUAACUUCUAUAUCAGAAUCCAACUAAUAACUAACUGAUAUAAUUGCUGCAGUGGCAGUGAUCAGAUACUGCAUGCUGUAUAUUAAGUUUGUGCUCAUGACAUUAAGGUUGCAAACAAUUAUGAAUACAUGCUACCUUUUUCUAUCUCAGUCGUUCUUUCAUGUAUAAUUAUCUAUGUUAAGAUGAAAGGUUGCCUGUAUCAUAGUAUAAGUACUUGGGUUUACUGAAUCUACCGGCACAGGACUACUCUGUAUUAUUUUUUCGUACGUGGUUUAGUUAUACUUGUAAAUUGUAAUUAACUGAGCCAUAAUCAAUUAGUUACAGUUGGAUGGUUAAACCCUAAUUAGAUAGUUAAUCACUAUAACCAUAUCUGAGAGUCAUCAAUGUUAUAUAGUAACUUUUCAUUUUCAUUAGAAUAUGUAGGAAAUGCCAACUCAAUUUUCUCUCAAAUUCCUCCUAUACUCGAUAAGCCACAUAGAUUUGGAAGUAGGUAUGCUUUUCAUGUCCCUAUUAAAAAUUUGAAAAUAGCAUGUAUUGCAAUCAACUCUUUUUUUCUCUUUAUUUGAAUUAUAUUGUUUAAUUUUUGUUACACAUUGAAUUACAACAUGGCAUAAAAAAUUCAAAUACUAAAAUAAUAUGUAUGUACAAUACACCAAAUGGUGGGACCCCUUCCCGGACCCUGCGUAUGCGGGAGCUUUAGUGCACCGGGUUGCCCUUUUACUAAAAUAAUAUGUAUGCACGGAAGGUUUUGGUAUGAAAAUGGUUAAUUCUGUUGUACCUAAAGAAAAUACUGAUUUAAUAUUCUGGUUACAGGACAAUACAAAUCAUUCAACAAGGGUUAUCAAGAACCCUGUACAUGAGUUGAUGCCAGAAAAAAGGGGGAAAAUACAGGUGAAGAUUAUAUUUAUCAGAAGCUUUUGUUGUUUGUCAUCCAGUAAUAAUUUCUUGUUUAUGAAUAUGCAAAUUAUAUUUGGUUUAAACUAUCAUUCGUUAUCUGUUGUUUGUUGGUGUGGGUGUGAAACCUCUUGUUUAAUUCACAAGAACAUUUUUUAUUUUCAUUUUCUGUUUUUAAUGACGAAGAAUAUUUUGUAGUCUGGCAUGAUUUUUAUUUUUCAUUUGAAUUAUAUAUAUUGAGAAAAUAAAUACAAAGUACUAUAGAAUAUGAACAGGAAAGAGAAUUUGAGAGAAAGAGAAGAGACAGUGAGUAAUUAGAAAAGAAACAGAGGUUUCUUUGUAUAAAUGCUGCAGUGGUAGUGAUCAGAUACUGUACCCUAGUAUAUUAAGCGGGUACUCCUAACCAAUGUUUAAAAAAGGAACAGACCGGAUUGUUUAACCGGCUGGCCAGUAAUCGGGGCUGUUUCCGGUCCGGACAUCUGUACAAAACAGGUAGUCAGUUAAACCGGAAAAAGCCCGUAAAAACUGGUUUAAACCGUCCGAAACCGUACUAACCGGACAGGGUUUAGUGACUAGACAAUGCUCUAGUAUGAAAGGAGAAUGCUCCUUUGGGGUUAGCCUUGUGUGCAAGGCAUCAUCUUCAUUGUAUGCCUUUGGUAUAUUUUGUUUCAAUCCUAUUAUCCCAUUCAAUUGAUAAUAACAAAGAUAUUCAAAGAAUUCUUCUUUUCUCAAUUUUGCUGAUCAAUCUUUAUUCUAGUUAGAAUCAUUAUCGUGUGUAUCCAUUUCAGCCCGAUUUUGGGAAUACUUUCUAUACCAAAAGAAAGGUUCAUAACACUGCCAAUGCACAUCCAUUCUCUUCUUCUUACUCACAUGGAACCUAAUAAACCACCAAGCAAACCUUGGCCAACCCCACAUGGCUUGCAGCAAUGAAAUGUGAAUUUUGGCUCUUCAAAGUUCAAAGAAAUUCCACACGGGCCUUGUCUCUCUCUCCCUCUAAACAGGUACCAUUAGGCUGCAAAUGUAUAUUUCGUGUGAAGAAAACCCAAAUGAUUCAGAAACUAAGUACAAGGCUCGCUUAGUAGCAAAGUUCUAUCAUCAUUUACAUGCUUGUUUAUGCAGAAGACAUAAGAGUCACAUUCAAUUAUUCUGCUACUGCCUUGGUUAACUUCCAAGCUCAGUAUGUGAUUUCUUCUCUCUUCUUGACAGUCACCAGAUAUGAGCUUUGGGGGAGUAUUAGGGAUUACUGAACCCACUUACACAGGACUUUGUUGUAUUAUUUUCUGUGACUUUAUAUGAAUAUGAUAAUCCACAAUCAGAGUUUUAUCAAAUAUUUUGAACGUAAUUUAAAUUUUAUACUUAAUUAUAUUGUUCUAAACUAAAUGCAUUUGUAUACGAGUUUGUGAGAUUGGUAGGAUCUUACAAUCCGUGUUACGAUCCCCCGAUUCAAGAUGAUCCCUUCCUGAUCCUGUGUAGGAUCUUGACUGACUAGUUUGCCUUUAACUAAUUGACCAUCUUGAGUUAGUCACAGCUGGAUGGUUAAACCAUAGAUAGUUAACCAUCAUAGUUACCAUAUCUGAGUCGUCACUAUUGUAAAGUAACUUUAAUAUCAAUAGAAUAGAUUCGGAGUCGGAUACAUGUAUUUUUUCGUGUCCUGCAUAAAAUCGGAAGCUGGCAUGUGAUUUUGUAGCCAACUUUUUUGUUUACUUCAUUUUGAAAAUCUUUGUAUAAUUUUUUUUUGUUGACGUAUGUUACGCAUAAAAAAUUGAAGUGCUGGUCUUGGGAUGAAAAUGGUUAAUUUUGUUAUGCCUAAAGAAAAUAUUGAUGUGAUAAUAGUCCGGGUACAGGAAGAUACAUAUCAUAGAACAUCUUUAGGGUUUUGUUUGUACAUGGAAAAGGCUUUAACCUGUGGAGAUUAAAUUUACCAGCGGCUUUUGUUGUUUGUCAUCCUUUAAAAACAUGGUAUUGUUGAACAUACAAAUUAUAUUUUGUUUGGACGAUCAUUCCUUUUUUGGUGUGUUGGUGAGGGCAAGAAACCUUUAUGAGCUUAAAGAAUGUAACUAUUAUUGAUUCGGUAAAUUGAAUCAAGUGAAAGUUUGUCUGAUUGUGUUAUUCUAUGUACUCUGUUUGAUUUCUCACCCAUAUUUUAUGAUCAGAAAGCUGAAAUAAGACUACGAGCCGGUGGAGGACAUAGUCGAGCUGAAGAUGCUGAUUCCGCUGAUGCUCAGGUAACCAACUGGUUGAUUAAGUGUCAACCCCCCCAUCCACCACAAAAUGCAGGGAUGUCACAAUCUGUUGGUUCAAAAUAUUUUUGAAUAUCAAACUCCAAAUCCAGCUUUGUUCAGCUAUGAAUUUAUUUCUCCUUAUUGUGCAAGCCUUUGAUUCCAUCGCAUUAUAACACUGCACACAACACUGUUGAAUUUGUCACAUGACAAUAAUCCUUUUCUUUUUAAUGGCAAACAUUAGUAAUUAGUUCUUUGAUUAGUACUUCUCUUUGUCCUCGUAAAGAAUAUACUGAUUUUAUAGUCUGGUUACAGAUAAAUACAAAUCGUUCAACAUUGAUUAUUAAGCGCCCUGGACAUGGAAUAGACUUGAUGUCAGAAAUAAGGGGGAAAAUGCAGGUGAAGAUUACAUUUAUCAGCAGCUUUUGUUGUUUGUCAUCCAAUAAUAAUUUGUUGUUGCUGAAUAUGCAAAUUAUAUUUGGUUUGGACUAUCAAUAAUCAUUUGCUAUCUGUUGCUAUCAAUAAUAAUUUUAUGUACUACGUGUAUAAUUUCUCACCUAUAUUUUUAUGUUAUGAUCAGAAGCUGAAAGAUAAUAUACUAGCCGGUGGAGGUCAAAGUUCUGUCAUGUGGUAAUUUGAGUUGGACUAUGUAACAACAGUUAUGCAGGACGUUUAGUUUAUUUUUAGUCAGGGUGUUGUAAAUAUAUAUAAUUCAAGUGGAUGACAUCUCAAUCACCAGAUUUUUUAUUAGUGCACUCUAAAGGAUAAUUUUUCCUAUAUUGGAUUUGUUAAUUUACACACUUAAAAACAUUAUUGUAAGUCACUUGAAAUUAAAGGAUAAUUUUGUCGAUGCCACUUUAGUUAAAAAACAAAAAACCUUAAAAUCCUAAAAAAAAAAACACUAUCAUUUCGGUACCACCGAGAAUUGAGAAUUGACUUUGUAUUUUUUCUUUUUAUUUUGUUUGUUAAGUGUUUUUUUACGUUAAAAAACAGCCCUAAAUUCUUAAAAACAAACAUAUCCAAGUUUUUUUGGGUCAAUAGUAAUACAAAGCUUUUGAAUUAACGUCAACGGAAAAAGAAAAAAAACAAAGGAAAACUUCAUGUAAUAUAACGUCAAAAGAAAAUUUGAGGGUAAAAUCAAUUUUCUGAAUCAAAAGCUCCAAUAAGUCGGUUUAGAAAGUAAUAUAACUCAAUCAGCAUAAGUAUUUAAAAGAACAACUAUGUUUUGUAGCACUAUAUAUACAAUGUGUCUGUUUAUAUUGUUACAAUUUCCAUGUUGUGCAGAAUCCUGUUUUGUCACACCAAUUCUCAUUUAUUUCAUUCAUCGUUAUAACAUAACAUCAUGUUGAGGUUUUGCUAGACCUUGCCUCUUGAACUUGCACGGAAUACUGCAGAUUCCAGAUAACAUCUUCGAUUGAAGGACGAUUACCGGGAACCUUGUUGAGACAAUUGAUGGUGAGCUGAACUGCAGUCUUCAAUGAUUCAUGUGUAUAAGUUCCAUGGAGGGAAGGAUCAAUUGCGCUCUUUAACGCGAUCGGUGAUGCAACUUCAGAUAAACCUCUCUCAAGCUGAACAUGAUAAUGAGAAAAUUCAAGUUAAGUAAAUCAAAUCAAACAUGUAAUUUACUAUGUCAUGUAUAUCAGUGAACCUUAUGAUUUGUAAGAAUGAUAUGUCAUGUAUACCUCAUACUUCAGCACCUCUACUUCAAUAGAAGAUGUAAUUAGUUUGCCAGUGAUAACUUCAAGUAGAAUUACACCAAAUUGAUAUAUGUCUUCCUUUUCUGCACUAUUGAUGCUGCACAUUGGGAUAACAUCAUAUUCUUAUAAGACAUCAGUGUAAAAAUAUUUUACACUAGCAAUGAAUGUCUCUUUUCUCAGAUGAAAGUUACCUGCCAAUAUGAUUGUGUGCAUUUUGUUCUUUAAGUUUUCUGUCAGAACCUUUCUGAAAAAUGAAAAUAAGAAAAGUAAAAUAUCAUAGAUUAGAGUUAGAGACUUAAACAUGAAGUACUGAAUGAGUGAAAUUACAUAUAAUUUGUUCUUCUAACCUUGGAUGGAAUUAAUGGAAUGCUAUAUCCACUAACUUUUGGAUUGAGAUUAUUGUCCAACAAAAUGUUCUCAAUCUUUAUGUUGUUUCCAUAUAUGCCAGGAUUAACUCCUGUAUGUAAGAAUUGAAUUCCUCUAGCAAUGCCUAUGAUGAUUGCCAUUCUUUGUUGCCACUUCAGCAUUUCCCUUUGUCUCUUAUCUGUUGAAUUGAAAUUUCAUGUUACAUAUUUUUAGUCAUUUAAAUAUUGGAUAUAAUUUAUAUACACUGUCAGUAUAAAGUUUUUUUACACUGUCGAUCAAUCAUAGUUGUUAGAUCAUUAAAACGUUUGACUUUAAUCAUAACUAUUUCUAAAGUCGCACAUAUGUAUUUAUGAGAAUGUUUAUUACCUGUAAGAUGAAUCCUCAAUGACAUGUUUGAGAUAUGCUCAAAUACAAUGAAUAUUGUGCUUGUCAUUUUGGGUUGGUCCUCAUAAGUAAUAGCACAGUGUCCUAAAACACUCACCAAAUGUCUAUGCCUUAAAUAAGGUAACACCUUCAAAUUCUGAUCACUGACUUUGAUCAAACUCUUCUGCUUUACUUUUACAAGAUUAACCAUGACCAUUGAACCAUCUUUGAGCCAACCUUUAAAUAGCUGUGUAAAAAACAAGAGAAAAUGACAUUACAAAUUCACUCCUGUGGGCCCCAUUUCAUUGCAGGAAGCUCAUAAAAAACCACAAGCACAUAUUAUUUAACCGACAGUGUAAAAAAUUACACCGUCAAUGAAUUAUAAUUGACAGAUUAUUAAAAACAAUUGACUUCAAUCGUAACUACUUAUAAAGUUAUAUAUAUUAUUGGAUAUGAUUUAUCGACGGUGUAAACUUUUUUAUAGCUAGUGACAUAGUAUCAAAAUGGUAAAAUAUUUGUUAGAUAUGAAACUCAAAUUCUUGUACCUCUCCUUGUGAUCCUUCUCCUAUUAGAUUUGAUGGAUCAAAGUUGUUGGUUGCAUCUCCAAUUUCUUCUAUUGUGAAAAUGUUGUAUGGUGGUAAUCCAAGUGUAGUUAGCCUCAUUAGCUGGGGAACAUUACUCCCUAAUUUCACAAAGAACCACAAAUUAAUAGCAUAAACAAAGGACUAAUAUGAAAUGAAAAAUAUGAUCUAAAUUUAACUUGUGCACUACAAUAUGAAAUGUUUAUGUGUAUGUAAUUAUGGCCUUACUUGCAUAAAUAUUUAGUCUUGAUUCUCUUGAAAUAUCAACAGAUCUAUCUUCUCUUUCUGCUUUGGACUUUCUCAAAAUGAACAGAAAGAGUAGAAUCAAAAGCCCUACAAUUCCAACAAAACCUCCAAUAAUACCAAAUAAUACUCCUAGCUGCAUCAUUGAUUUUUUCGGCUUCUCAAAUCUCGGCUUAGCGGCUAACACCGUUGAAUUCUUGCAAUGUGAAGAUGAAUGUUGAUCACUGACAUUUCUUGCUGAUAAACAAUUACCAGAAUAAACUAUUGUUCGAUUCAACGACAAUGUCGAAUCAAUGCAUGAUGGCAAUUUUCCUUCUAGAGAAUUGUUUGAGAUAUCAACAAAUGUUAGAGAAGAACCACAAGAUAUAUUCAUAGAAAAUGAACCAUUAAAUUGAUUUGAAGCCAAGUUUAGCUUCUGAAUCAAAGGAAGAGAGAACAGAAAUGAAGGAAAUCCAGGUCCUAAUUUGUUGUUAGCAAGAUUAAUCUCUUCAAGAGAGGUUAAUCUUUUGAGAUUAGGAACACUUCCAUUGAAAAAAUUAUCAGCCAAAACAAGACUCUUAAGACUUUUCAUUGAAGAAACUGAUGAUGGAAUUUUUCCAUACAAGAAAUUUGAUGAAAUGUUGAAAACUUCAAGUGACUUAAACCUACUAAUCUUGGAAGGUAGUGGACCCCACAAACCAAGUGAAACCAAUGACAAAACCUUCAUCUUUGAAAGCUUUGUCACAACAGUAAAAAAAGAAUCAAUAGAAAAUCUUUCAGAAAGAGUUUUCCUUGACUUCCAAGAAACUGGUCUUGUUUUGUUUCCAAUGAUUGUUAAUUCUGUUACAUGAUUCUUUGUGCAGACAAUGUUGAAAGAAGGUGAUGAAGAGAUGUUACAGAAAUUUGUGAGAUUGUUUUGAAGAAGUUGUGGAUAUUCUUGAGGAUAUUCAAGAAGUGUUUGAAGUUGAAGAAGAAUUCUAGUUUCACUAUUUGUUAAUUGUGCACUUGGAAUUGGAGUAAGUAGCACAAGAAUAAUUGUAAAGAUUGUAGGAAACAAAAAGUAUAAAGAAACAAAGAAAUUCUUCAUAUUUUCUGAAUGAGAGAGAGAAAUUAAGAAUGGUGAGUGAGUUUCAAAAAGGCUAAGGUACACUAUAUAAAUGCAUUCAAAUUAAUGUGCAUUUAAAGAAACGACAAAUAUGAUUUUUUGGGUCCAUAAGCAACAGAUUUUAAAGGACUGAUCUAUAACUGUAUACUUUGGACCGUUGUUAGGGAACAACUUAUUUGAAGAUAAUAUGUACAUAAAGUUUGGUUGAAUCUUGGACAGGUGGACUACUUAAGAAAUGACUUUUGGCUAAGAUUCAAUUUCUUUCUAUUUUUAGUGUAAACAACAAAAAGUUAUCGAUUUAUUUAAUUAUAUCUCAUCAUAGUAGUAUAAAUUAUGGUAGAGUUAUUUUAAGAAUAACUUAUAGCAUUAUGAUGGUUCAAGAGGAGUUAAUUUAGUGGUAGGAGUUUAAUUUAGUUUAGUGGAAGAAAAAUAUAGGGUAUAAUGUUUUUUUUAUUUGAAAUAUUCACUAAUUUUGCUAAUAACUGAUCUCUGUUGAAAAAUCUAUUGAUCGAUUAUCAGAAGUGGUUUCCCCCUCUCAACCACAUCCAUUCACGAUGCCCAAUUCCAUGAUUUAAUUACGAUAUAGUUUGAUUGAAUAUAUGUGUAAACAAAAUUUAAGGAAAUAAGAUUUAAUCUCUUUAGCUUUUGGUAUCACAUUCUUGUAUUUAAAAACUACAUUGAAGGUUUUGCCAAAAAUCACUAUAUCAAAGGUGAAACGUACUUUUUUUUUUCUUUCUCUCUCUCUAUAUAGAAAUUUCUCGCUCAAGAAAACUAUAUUUAAAAUGUGUUAGAUAUUAAAUGUAUGUAUCUUUCCUUAGAGAUUCGAAUAUUGGUUGUCUAUACUACGAGUUUUAACCCCUUCCACUAGACUCAACAACCAUUGAUGAGUAUGUGAUUUAUUUAGUUACAAAAUAUAUUAAUUUAAUAGAUUUUCAAUCGUAAUUUACUUAAAAAAUUAUAAUAUGACACUUUAAAAAAUUAUAAUACGGUAGCUUUUAAAACCGUCUCUCGUUAAAUACGACACUUACUUAUCAUUGAGUUGAUAUCUGAUAGCUCAAUAAUGAUAGUUUGUAAAACCGUGUCUUUAUAGAGUAGUUUUAUGAAAGGGGAAGAAAAGUCUUUGAAAUUUUUUUCAUUUCAUAAAUAUUUUGCGUGUUUCCCAAAUGUAGAGGAUAAUUGUUCUUUGGAGAAAAAUAAAUUCAUAUGCAAAGUGAGGAGUCUCAUCUAUUCUUCUUAUUCAAAUAAAUUCACCUUUUUGCAUAUUUUUUACUCAAGCUAGUCUCUCAGCCUAACUCUCAAAUAAACCUAGAAAAGUUAUACUUUUUCAUGAUUGGUCUAACAAGUGGUGAGAAAUAGUUAUUUAGUUUCUGUAUUAUUUUUUUUAAUUGUGCACUUGUUAGGGCAGCCAAACUCUCAUGUGAAUUGAAUCUUGAAGGCUAGUCAAGACAGGCCUCGAGGUAUAUAAGCGCAUUAACUAAGAUACUCAUAAUUUGACUCUCACAUCAAUAACAACAGGAGUUAAACUCACAUUUUUUUUUUUUUUAAAUUACUGAGUCAAUUCUUUAUUAAUUGAACUACUCCCUCAGUUUCUUUUCAAGCGUCUCUUUUGGAGAAAUUUUUUGUUCUUAUUUAACUGUCACUUAUUUAUCUUUAAUGUGAAUUUCUCUAGCCAUUAGACUACUUGACCAAAAAAAAAAACAUAAAAGUAAUAAAAUCUGGACAUAAAAAUCAAAUUUUGCGAUAAUUUUUUGCGGAGGAACUUUUAGUAAUGUUCUUAACACGUCUACAAAAUAUUGUUAAAAAACGUAAGACUUUAAACAUAAAUUAAACAAAUUUAAAUUGAACAGGUACUAAUAUUGAGUGCAUAUUUUUUUUAGGGACUAAAAGAACUAUUAAAAUUAAAAUUAAGUAAGGACUAAACUUAAAAUAUUUCAAUUUUAUAGGGAUUAAAAACAUAUUUAACUGUUUUUUAGGGGAGAAUCAUAAAUUUUUACCAAAAUAUAACCACAUACUCAAAAAAUAGUAGCUUUUAGAAGGAAAAAAAAAAUUACCUAGUACAUAUGAUAUCAGGGCAUUAUAGUCACCAUCAUAAUUUGGAUUGGAAUAUGGUGAUCGACUGUAGGUUUUGUGUCGGUGAUUGAUGUGUUACUAAAAGUCAGGGCAUUGAACAUGUUGCCACUUGUUACACAUAUUAUUGGUGAAAUGCAUACAGAUUCUUUAAUGUGAUUUGAAUUAGUUACACCCAUUCAACUAAAUCAUGUUCUUAUACACGAUCUCAAUUUUAAUCCCUGUAUAGUAAUGGUUGCUGCAACAACAUAGUAGUCUGUUAUAAAAGAUUGAAGUUCAGUGUACCAAUUCCUGUCUGGCCCCAGAUAAGAAAUUUAGUUAUAUUUUGAUAUUUCAAUUCAACCACAAUUUCUAUUUGUUCGAUGUUCAGAUAUGCCUUAAAAACCACAAUUUCUCAUGUUGAAAGCUUGAAAACUUAUGUUGUACUUUCUCCCAUGCACGCGGUUGUGCAAUAUGUACGGGGUCUCGUUUAAAAUUUGGGGUCUUAAGUGAGAUCCUAAGUAUUAUAAGACCGUGAAAAAGUUUCUCUUCAAUGAGAUACCUAAUAUGUAUCAGGUCUUAAAUGUUUAAAACGUUGAAGAUGGUCUUAGAGAUUCAUUUUUCCAACUUUUUAAGUGUAUAAAAGGCAAGAUUUGUCAUUUUUUUUGUGUUGUCUCGUGAAAUCAAAUGAGAGGACUUUUAAGAACUCAGAGGCUAAGGGUAACAAAUUUUUUGUUUGUUGUUCCAUACACUAUACUCUCUUUAUCUUGUUGUUCUUGCAUUGAUUGUGAAUUUUCUUCACAUAAUGUCCUAGAUUAUAUCUAAAUAUGUUGUUGUUGCUUAAGAUUGUUUAAUGCUUGUUCUAUACACAGUGGCCGAUCUUAAAAAAAAAAAAAUCGGAGGUGCCAAAUAUUUGUUGAAUAUAUAUUAAACGGUUUCAAAAAAUAUAUAGUAUAGUAAACUGGUGUAGUCGUACAAUUGCUUGAUUGUAACAUGGAGGAUGCUGGUUCAAAUUCACAAGGACCAUUUUUUUGAAUAAAAUAUGAAAAAUUAUAAAAAGGAGGGUGUCAAAUGGAUCGAACUCGAAACAUAUAAUGGAUUGAGAGAACACAUAACUACUGCAACACAACGUAUUACUUAAAAGGAAUGAUAUUUUGACAUCUAAUUUUCAACAACUUUUAGGGACAACAUUUUUCCUCUAUUCUUAUUGGAUGAUAACAAUAGAGAGAAUAAAAGAAAGAGAGAGAAUAAAAGUAUAAUGAGAGUAUAAAAGAGAGUUGUCACAAAAGUUGUUGAAAAUUGGAUGUCAAAAUAUCAUUCCUCUUACUUAAAACGUCAUGUCUAAUAUGAUAUUUAUAUAAAAACUGAGGGUGCAAUGAUACCUACAGGUCUUCAAGGAGAUCCGCUACUGUCUAUACAUCUAAGUUUAAUGGUUCGAUCAACGGUCCAAAAAGCAAAUCAACAUCCACAUAAAAAAUGGGUGUUCAUAUCUAAAAUGACUCAAAUUAAAAUUGCAAAUUGAUGAUGAAAAAAUAAAAAUCGUACAAAAUUAAAUAUUAUCAACUCAUAUUUUGAAUUGUUUUUUAAACCAAAUCAAACCGAAAACAUAUAUUCUAAUACUUAUUUAUUAUUUUAUUAGUGUGAUAUAUGAAACCUUAUCCAAACAGAAGAUGCACAAUGGAACACCAGUCUGUUACCCCGAUCCAACAACCGCUGCAGGAAAAACAAAAAUACACCAAACCUUAAUACAACAAAGUUUUGAGCUAUCAAUAAGAACAGAUUUUCACCUUAUCCAUAAUAAGCAACAAAAUUGGAUUUUUUAUUUUUUUUUGUGUAAGCAUAAUCUUUAUAAACAUCUGAAAAAAUAAGUUUUGUAAACAUAAAAUUAUUUUUAAGCAUUGCCCACUAUUUGUCCACUAUAAAUGAACUAUUGAAUUAUUCUUUUUAUUUAUCAUUAGUGACACUUUUUUUACUUGAUAGUUACAACUUACAAGCUACAACAUUAGUUUUUUCGGUUUUUUUUUUUUAAUUUUAAAAAAUGUAUUUUAUAAUACCAAUUUUUUUUUCUUUACUUUAUUUAUUUUGUUGUUGUUUGCAGAUUUAACCACAGACCAACAUAGAGAGGGGAUUCGAACCAACUCAGAGUCUUAAUUAACAUGAUAGUUCAUCUAAGACGAGUUAAACAGAACGGACCGACUCCACAUACCUACCUCUGGCUUUAAUGCAAACCGGUCCUCAGGAGUUUACAUGUUUGCCUAGGAAAGAUAAGAACGCCGCAUGGUAAUCAAUAGGAUGGACAUUCCCUUGCUAUUGUUUGGCUCAAUGUCCAUUGAUAUGCCUAAAAUGAUGCUUAGAGGUUACAACCUGUUGGUAUUACUAUUAAAUGUUAUGUGUUUUUGUGGUUGUUGACUGAAUUGUGGCCUUGAUGUUUGACGGUAGUAUUUUAUUAAGCGCAAUGCUUCAUACAAAUUUUUUAAUAAAAAAAUAAAGGUUUAAAUAUGCUUUUAGUCUUUACACUUUUAUCAGAUUUUGACAUUGGUCCCUACACUUUUUUUUGUUUGGAAUUGGUCCCUUCACUUUAUAAAAAUAUUGGUAUUGGUUCUUCUAUUAACUUUCUGUUAAAAAAAACACAAAACUAUUGGUAUUGAUCCCUGCACUUUGUAAAAAUAUUGAUAUUGGUGCCGCGUGGCGUGAAAUGAUUGGGCCACGUGGCACUUCGUUGGUUUUGUGUUCUUUUUUUUUUAACAGAAAGUUAACAGAGGGAUCAAUACCAAUAUUUUUACAAAGUGCAGGGACCAAUGCCAAACAAAAAAAAGUGCAGGGACCAAUGCCAAAAUCUGAUGAAAGUGCAGGGAUCAAUGACACAUUUAAACAAAAAACAAAAUACAUAAAAAUUAACACUAAGAUCAAAUAAAACACCUUGAAAAUUAACAUCUACUCACUCGAUCGCUUAUUAUAAGUUUUUUUUUUGACUAAUUUUACCCAUAUUAAAAAAAGUUGGUAGUAUAGUUAAUUCAUCUAAUUUGUGUGUGAAUUUUACUAAAUUAUAGAAGUAAUUUGUUUGUAUAUAUAUUUAAUUUGACUUUUGAUAUUUCAAUGCAAGUUUGGAAAAAAAUAAAUGCACCUAGUAUAAACACCCUUAGCCUUUUUCACAUUUUUUAACAAAAAUUGUUAGUAUAAUUAAUGUGUCUAAUUUGUUUGUUAAUAUUAUCAAACUGUUAUUUAUUUGUAUGUGUGUUAAAUUUGAAUUUUAAUAUUUUAAGACAAUUUAGUAAUAUUAAUUAGAGGUAUGUUUAGAAAAAUAAUAAUAAAUGCAUUUAGUAAUUAAAAGGGAACUUAUAUUUAGAGACAAAUUUUAUGCGAAAUGUGUGCUUAUAUAUAAUAAAGACGGAAGGAGUAACGUUUCUUUUUUUUUUUUGUCAAGUAAGUCUAGUGGCUAUAAUUAUUCUUUUUCAAGGUGAAUAAGUGGGGUGUUUGAGAUUCAAACCCCGAUCCCUACAUAAAACAAUGCAUGUCCCUACCAACUAAGCUAUGCUGACGGAGACGAAUGAGUAAUACAUUUAAAAGUUAGUCAAUAAUUUUUUUAUAUGAAGGAUUUUUUUUUUCAACACUUUUGAUUCUUAAAAAAAGGUAUUAUUUAAUUUAUUUGAAUAAGUUGACCGUAAGUUAUGUUGUACUAAAUUCUUCUAAGAUUUUUCUUAAAUCACACCAAUUUCCCCUAAUUGUUUUUUUUUUUUACACAAACCAAAUAAACCAUGUUACACUAUUUUUUUCCCAGUAUCAUCUUGCUCACUAGGCUUUGAUACUAACUUCUCGGAUACUCAUGUUCAUACUUCAAGGAUGGUGAGUUGGCAAUAUAGGGAUGAGGACAUCAUGGUUCUCAAUGUUGAUAGAAGCGCGUUGACAAAUUCAAGAAAGGUAGGUUAUGGUGGUCUAAUUUUUAAACAUGAUGAAAAUUUUCAACUUGGUUUCUUUGGUAGUGUAGGGAUCUCAAAUAUCCUACAUGCUGAAAUUCAAGCUCUAUUGACCAGUAUAAAUUUUUGUUGGGAUGCAUGAUAUAGAAACCUCAUAUGUUACUCUGACUCUCUUCAUGUAGUGCAGUUAGUAAUGAAUGAGACUACAACAAGGCUCCACCGUUAUGCAAAUCUCCUAUAACUCAUUCGUGUGUAUCUUGCUAAUGAUUGUUCUAUUUUUAUAAAUCAUAUUCUUCAAGAGGGAAAUUCUUGUGCUGAUAUCUCUUACUAAGAUGAGAGCUAACCAUUCAUAUCAUCUUGUUACUUUUAACGAACCUCUUAUACGUUAUUCAUCAACUUUACUAGGUGAUGCUUUAGACGUGUACAACAUACAUAAGAUUAUAAAUGAUACAUGACCAACAUACUUAAAUAAAUGCUAAUAAUAUUUCUAUCAUUAUUAUUAUAUUAAUUUUUUUUCGAGAUAAGAUUAUAAAAAUGUUAACUUUUUUGAUAAGUUAAACUUUUUAGCCUGUAUUAGUUUUUCACAUAUUCAAAUAUGUUAUUAUAAACUGUAAUAGAAAUAUGAUAUUUAGAAAUAUGAAAAAUAAGAAAUUUAAAAAAAAAUCCAAAAUUAUCACAAAAUAUAGAGAAAGUGAGGGAGAUCUAGGUGUUAAAUAUGGUGGUGGUGGUGGUUAUGAUGGUACUGUUCCGAGAGAGAGGAGAGGAGGAGGACGUAGAGAGAGAAAGUGAGAAAUUUGGUUGAUGUUUGUGUGGUUGAAGAGGGAGGGAGAAAAAUUGAGUGUUGAGGGAGUAUGAUAAGAGUGUAUUCUUCAUUAGAUCUAAUGGUUAAAACUUACUUUCCCAUGAUGGGAAAAAACUAGUCUUUCCCAAAUUAAAUGGCACCAUGGAGUAUAUUUGUUUGGAACAUGUUUCUGAGGUCAUUCGUGAUGAAGUUUGAGGAUAUGGGAAAAUACUUGGGUGACAUAGACUUGGGUGACAUUGGCCAAUCACAAUGCCACAAUGCUUGUGUUUCUCUCUCUUUCACAAGCAUUGUGACAUUGUGAUUGGUCAAUGUCACCAAUGUCACCCAACUCUAUGUCACCCAAGUGCUACCCGAGGAUAUGGCUCAAUGUGUGGGGGUUUGACUUUGACUUUAGUGUUGGAUAUGAUUUUGGAGGUUACUUUUGAUUGAUUUUGAUGGAAGUACUAGGUUGAAUGUUGUUUUCAUUUGGAUUUUAGAUAUACAAGGUGUAUGCGUUUUCUUUUGGAUGUUCCAUCCAUAUACAAUGCUCUUUACUUUGUUAUUUAUGUCUUGCCGAUAUCUGUUCGACAUUUGUAAAUACUUGAUUAUUAACAAAUUUUACGGUUAAAUAAAAGAUAUGACAUAAAUAUCUAACUUAACAAUAUCAGCAUUUUGCUAGGCUUAAAGAUAAUUGACCGUAUCCCCGUGAGCUUAGCUCAGUUGGUAGAGAUAUUGUAUAUUAUAGGCAGGUUGGAGUUCGAACUCCGGACACCCCACUUCUCCACAUUCAAUUGCGUGAGCUCUAUCCACUAGGCUACUUGACAAAAAAAAAUAAAAAUUGACAGAGUUCAACGAUGGUCUAUUGAUACAUUCAAUGACAAUUUAAAGACAGGAAAAUAAUAAUGAGUGUCGUAAAAAAGUAUUAUCACUUACAUUACUUGGUCAUUAUUAUAAACUAAAAAAAUUUCAUUUUUAUAGUUAUCCACUCACUGAUGUAUCUAAUCUUAUACUAUAAACCAAAUAUAUUAAUUAUUUAAUGAAUUGAUAAUAUGAUUGUUUUUGCGUAUGAGCAAUGUUAUUUGAACAAUCAUUUAUUGUGACAACUUCUUAUACAAUCAAAUUAUACAAAGGGAUUUAGAGACUGACACAAAAAUCAAAGUAAUAGAGAGAGAAAGUAGAAGAACAAUGUAAAUAUGAGAGAGAAGGUUGUAAAAAAUGGUUGUUAAAAUAUCAUUUCUCUUUGCAUAUAAUAAUAAGGGAAAUGCUAACCGAUGCCCCCGGAGCACUGGUUAAGGAUAAUAAAAAGAAAAAUUAUAUGUUAAUUAUUGCAUUAAAAAUUAUUUAAUUAAUCCAUAAAUAAGUCAACAAAACUUCCUUUUAUGAUAAUAAUUUCCUUUUUUUAUAUGUUUAACCGGUGCCGUGCCCCAACACCGGUUAACAUGACCCUAAUAAUAAUAAUAAUAAUAAGUUGAGCAUAUAAGUUGAAUUUUAAAACAGCCUAUUUAAUGGAAGUAUCACAUCUAUAAAAAAAGUAAUUUAGGAGCAUCAAUUAUUAUUAUUUAUUGGUGAGAGAAAAUAGGAUGAUCUUCUAUACAAUAGUUGUGGAAACCUCGUAGGAGGGAAUCUAUGACGUUGCUUUUCAGUUUCAAGUUCACAGCCUUAUUAAGGUAUUCUUUCUUUCUCUUUCUUCCACAUGCUCUGUCACUGUUUUUUCUCUUAAUCCAACAAUCUCUUCUCACUAUUAAUAAUCACUUCUUAAAUCUACUUCUUCACCAUUGGAUUCUUCUCACUCUUCAUUUUUUCAGGUUACAUCUAGGGUUUUAAUGUUGUUUUUAAUGAAACUAUGUAGUAGUUGACUCCUGGUUUGUUCUUCAUUUUAACUAAGUUGUUUUUAAUGUUCUUGUCUUUAUUGUUUAAUUUAGUAACGAGGUAAUGUUUUGAAUUUUUCAAUUUUUUCAUGGUAUUUUUCCUAUGUAGGAAUUUUUGUCAUUAGUCUUACAUCAAAAUGGGUUAUUUUCUACUUGUUUGAAAAUGGGUAUAUAUAAUAUUAGGCUAUUUCAUGAAAAUUUAGUUUUUUUUUUUUGUUAUGUAAAUUUUAUGGUUGGUUGUUUGAUUUGCUUUGAACAAAUAGUAUAUAAUUGAUGGAAAUUUGUUUAUGUUUAUUGCAGAUUUUGAUGCUUGAGUUCUGUGCUUUGUGAAGCAGCGAUUGUUGACGUGAUGGGGAAAGGGAGAAGUCCUGGGAAAUGGAUCAGGAGUUUACUCUCAGGAGGGAAGAAAUCGUCAUCGAAGUCUAGUUCGUCAAAGAAGAAUGAUAUUUUUGUAAGUGUUUUCGUGUUUGUAGCAUAUUUUUGUUUGUGAUUUGAUAUAGUAUGAGUGUUGCGCCGAUACCUUAGCUAUAAGGAACCUAUCAAAGGCAGAAAAAUGUCAGAAUUGCCGCUUAUAGGGUGUGAGUACUUUGAAUUUUGAAAUAGGAAUGUUGUAAUUGUUGUUUCCAUUCGUGUCUGUAGAAAUCUUCGAGUAACAAGGAUGCACUGGGAUCUUCUGAGUUAACUGUGUCUAAUCCAAUUUCAACUGUGGAUUCUUUGCAAAUAUCCGCACCAAUAUCUGGAGCAAAUGUUGCGAAAGCAGUUAUUUCAGAAAAGGAAGUAGUCAAUAAGUCUUCACAUGAGAGGGGUAUUCUCUCAAAUGGAGAUGAAAAGGCUCAAGCACCGGCCUUUGCUAAUGUUGCAUCUCAAGAUGAUCUUGAGACACUCAGGCUUACGGAAGCAGCUAUUAAACUUCAGUCCGCUUGCAGAGGCUAUCAGGUAAUACUCCCUUGUAAUUUUACAUUUAUGUUAUGCGGGCUGAUAUGCUUCUGUUAUAGCAGUUUGUUUAAGUUCUGCUUGUAACAGUGCUGUAACUUCGCUAUAGCUGCUAUUUGACAAAAUUUUGUACUAAACAACGUAUCGCGGAACAAUAGUGAUUUGUUUGAAUUCCUCUACGCUAUUGCGUGUUUAACAACCCUGUUGAAUUAUAAUUAUUUGAAAAAUGUCACGGGCAUCGCAAAUGUCAAUGAAGUAGAGUAGAAAUGUUUGAAGCUACCAAUGCAACCACAUUUAUUUCACUUUUAUUUUAAACUAAAGUUGCAGUUGUAGGAAAAGGAAAAAUAUAGCUUUGUAUGUUUGACAUUUUAUUUAUGCAAUUUUAUUGGAAAUUAUUUAGUGUCAUGAUAU